UAAGGCCGAACAAGUAGAGUUAUCUUUCUUUUUGAACUCAGAUUGGAACUCUACUCGAUCCGGACCAAGACCACAGUUCAAUUCAGACUUCGCAACAGAUUCGACAGAGAGAAGAUAUGGUAAUACUCGGCUGUGUAUAGAUGGUGACAAGAACUCGAAACUCUAAAGGACUAGACACUAAGACCAGCAACUCGACACAAACCAAAGCAACGCAAAUUCAACAAGCCCUAACUAAAACGGUACUAGCCAAGGCACAAAGGUUUAAUAGGAUUAUGGAAAAACUAAUCUACUAUAUUUUUUUGGCUUUUCUGGACUAUAGGAAAUUAAUUAAAAACAGCAAAGGAUUAGAAGUCUCUCACCGAAGAACCUUGCUCUGAUACCAACUGAUGCGAGCCCGCUAGGGUUUUUGGCCUGAUCUUUCGAUGAGAGGCGCUGGAUAACUCGAUUAAUGGAUGGAGAUGACGUUCACGGCCCGACUACAGCCCUCAAGACCGCGCCUUAGCAACCGAUACACCACGUCCAACAGCCGUCACGAUCUUGUGGAGCGCGACAACCAGCCCCUAGGGCUCCCGUCCUGCAAGCAAUCGAAGGACUAGCAAGAACGAGGAAACAAGCACUGAGUUUGCAAGAUGAAUUGAAGGUUUUAAACUGAAUCUUAAUCAACAAUGGGGUUCCGAAGACAAGGAGGCGGGCGGCUGAUCCUGCACGUGCGCCUACAAGCAAGUAGCGAAGGCUAAACUUGAUCUAAACAAAACCCAGUUGUUCAUGGCGGCUCUAGAUGUAAAUAAAUAGAGGGGAGGACGACCAAAGGGGUGCUAGAGUCGUCCUCCAACCCUAGGACGCGUCCCUAAUGGACUCAACUUGAUACAUGGGCCAUUGGUCCAUAAUAGGGUGACGCAGCACCAAAACAGAAAAAGGUGUCGGCACGAAAACAAGGACUGCGCCCGACUCAUAAGCCGCAUAGAUAUGUGGUUGGACCCAUUGGAAAGUAGACUUCAUGAGCUUUCCAACAAGUAUAGGAACGUCCCAGUUGGAGUCCAUAUGACGCCGUGGUGAUCCAUACAAGUUAGAGUUAUUUUCCAGUCCGAAUCUAACUCCCAAAACGUGUUGGGUUUGGACUCUUUGUUUCCUUGCUUUAGAAACGACGUGGUAACUUGACAGAGGAUGUUGUGGAGGCUUGGACCUGAUCUCCAAUCACCUUUGUUAAGUUAUCACUCUUCCCAUAUGCAAUCAGCCCUUGAAGUUGGUGUUGCCUCAAAUUCUGAAUGCAGUUGAACCUUCCCUUGCUGAUCUUGUCCAUUAUUCCUGAGCAACACCAAAGUGCACGUGUCUCCAUUGUCUAAAUAUGAUUGACAAGAGUUUAAUGCUGAACUUACUUGAAGGUUGAGUUGACGGGCACGAGCACGAGUAAGAGGACCAGCUAUAGGUUGUGUCGGAGAGGAUGUAGGAUAUGUAUCGCUGGUGGAUGUAGGAUAUGUAUCGCUGGUGGAUGUAGGAUAUGUAUCGCUGGUGUUGAUGUCCUCAUCAGGGCUGAAACAAGGAACGAACUAGCACCACGUUAGUUAUAAAAGCGAGCUGAAUAAGCGUUCGACGAUGGUACUGUGCUGGUCCUAGGCUAGACCGUGCUAGAGACGCGAGCCUGGACACAAAGGAAAACCACAGCACACCCCCGAAAACAAGGUGGGACAAACCUAAAAUCAAUAUGAAAAACAGCCCCUUUUUUUGAAUCUUUUCUCUUUUCUUUUUUUUUUCUUUUUUUUCUUUUUUUUGGGCAACCUCAAAAACUGAUUAUAUGAACAAAAGAAUACAAAAGAGCAAUUCGCUCCACACACUUUUUUCGCUCCACACACACACUCUCUCUCUCUAGAGUAAGGCCGAACAAGUAGAGUUAUCUUUCUUUUUGAACUCAGAUUGGAACUCUACUCGAUCCGGACCAAGACCACAGUUCAAUUCAGACUUCGCAACAGAUUCGACAGAGAGAAGAUAUGGUAAUACUCGGCUGUGUAUAGAUGGUGACAAGAACUCGAAACUCUAAAGGACUAGACACUAAGACCAGCAACUCGACACAAACCGAAGCAACGCAAAUUCAACAAGCCCUAACUAAAACGGUACUAGCCAAGGCACAAAGGUUUAAUAGGAUUAUGGAAAAACUAAUCUACUAUAUUUUUUUGGCUUUUCUGGACUAUAGGAAAUUAAUUAAAAACAGCAAAGGAUUAGAAGUCUCUCACCGAAGAACCUUGCUCUGAUACCAACUGAUGCGAGCCCGCUAGGGUUUUUGGCCUGAUCUUUCGAUGAGAGGCGCUGGAUAACUCGAUUAAUGGAUGGAGAUGACGUUCACGGCCCGACUACAGCCCUCAAGACCGCGCCUUAGCAACCGAUACACCACGUCCAACAGCCGUCACGAUCUUGUGGAGCGCGACAACCAGCCCCUAGGGCUCCCGUCCUGCAAGCAAUCGAAGGACUAGCAAGAACGAGGAAACAAGCACUGAGUUUGCAAGAUGAAUUGAAGGUUUUAAACUGAAUCUUAAUCAACAAUGGGGUUCCGAAGACAAGGAGGCGGGCGGCUGAUCCUGCACGUGCGUCUACAAGCAAUUAGCGAAGGCUAAACUUGAUCUAAACAAAACCCAGUUGUUCAUGGUGGCUCUAGAUGUAAAUAAAUAGAGGGGAGGACGACCAAAGGGGUGCUAGAGUCGUCCUCCAACCCUAGGACGCGUCCCUAAUGGACUCAACUUGAUACAUGGGCCAUUGGUCCAUAAUAGGGUGACGCAGCACCAAAACAGAAAAAUGUGUCGGCACGAAAACAAGGACUGCGCCCGACUCAUAAGCCGCAUAGAUAUGUGGUUGGACCCAUUGGAAAGUAGACUUCAUGAGCUUUCCAACAAGUAUAGGAACGUCCCAGUUGGAGUCCAUAUGACGCCGUGAUGAUCCAUACAAGUUAGAGUUAUUUUCCAGUCCGAAUCUAACUCCCAAAACGUGUUGGGUUUGGACUCUUUGUUUCCUUGCUUUAGAAACGACGUGGUAACUUGACAGAGGAUGUUGUGGAGGCUUGGACCUGAUCUCCAAUCACCUUUGUUAAGUUAUCACUCUUCCCAUAUGCAAUCAGCCCUUGAAGUUGGUGUUGCCUCAAAUUCUGAAUGCAGUUGAACCUUCCCUUGCUGAUCUUGUCCAUUAUUCUUGAAGGUUGAGUUGACGGGCACGAGCACGAGUAAGAGGACCAACUGGUGUAGGUGCGGAUAUAUCGAUGGUGUUGAUGUCCUCAUCAUCCUCCCUUUCUUGCAUUUGAGUCGUCCUUGACUCAAGCUCAUGUUCCUCACCCAAAUAUGGUUUCAAAUCUGCAAUGUUAAAUGUGGGACUAACCCCAAAAUCUGCAGGAAGAUCAAGCUUAUAUGCAUUCUCAUUAAUUCCUUGUAGCAAUUUUCCCCAUAAAGUUCUCCAAAAAUGGCUAAGAAAUUUAGUAUCUCGAUCAGAAACCAUUGUAUUUGGCACACCAUGCAAACGAACAACUUCCCAAAAGAAUAAAUCAGCAAUAUGUGUAGCGUCAUCGGUCUUAUGACACGGUAUAAAGUGUGCCAUCUUAGAAAAUCUAUCCACAACAACAAAAACACUAUCACGGCCCUUCCUAGUCUUAGGCAAUCCCAACACAAAAUCCAUAGAAAUAUCUUCCCAAGGAACGCUAGGAACAGGUAGAGACAUAUACAAACCAUGUGGAUUUAAGCGUGACUUAGCCUUUUGACAGGUUGUGCAGCGAGCAACAAAUCUCUCCACAUCUCUCCUCAUCCUUGGCCAAAAGAAAUGACCAGCAAGUAUGUCCUCCGUCUUCUUUGCUCCAAAAUGUCCCAUCAAACCUCCUCCAUGAGCUUCCUGUAGCAACAACAAACGAACAGAGCUAGCUGGAAUGCAUAGCUUGUUAGCUCUAAACACAAACCCAUCACUAACGAUGAAUUUGUUCAAUCCUUUUCCAUCUUUACAACGCAGCAACACUUCAUUAAAAUCAGCAUCAUGAACAUAUUGGUCUUUGAAAAUUUCUAAUCCAAAAAUCUUGUAAUCAAGUUGAUUUAACAAAGUAUAUCUCCUUGACAAAGCAUCAGCAAUGAUAUUCUCCUUCCCUUUCUUGUGCUUAAUAACAUAAGGAAAGGAUUCAAUAAAUUCUACCUACUUAGCAUGUCUGCGAUUUAGUUUUCCUUGACUACGAAUAUGUUUUAAAGAUUCAUGAUCAGAAUGAAUAACAAACUCUUUGGGCCACAAAUAAUGUUGCCAUGUUUCUAAAGUUCGGACAAGAGCAUACAAUUCUUUAUCAUAAGUUGAAUAGUUCACAACAGGCCCACUGAAUUUCUCACUAAAAUAUGCAACAGGUUUACCCUCUUGUAGCAAAACACCUCCCAAACCAAUCCCACUAGCAUCACACUCAAGCUCAAAAGUCUUAUUAAAAUCAGGAAGCUGUAGGAGAGGUGCAUGUGUUAACUUAUCUUUCAACAUGUUGAAGGAAUUCUCUUGUACUUUGCUCCAAACAAAAGGCACUCCCUUCUUUGUAAGCUCAUUCAAUGGUGCAGCAAUGGUGCUAAAAUCCUUCACAAAACGACGAUAAAACCUAGCAAGUCCUAAGAAACUCCGCACCUGGGUGAUUGUCUUUGGUACAGGCCAUCCCUGUAUAGCUUCUACCUUGGCUUGAUCAACCUCAAUUCCAUAACCUUUGUCGAGGAGUUCUUGCACUUGCCGCUGGAUCUCUUUUGUUUCCUCUAGAUUUGUCCUGUAUGGCGCACGGUUUGGCAAAGAUGCACCAGGAAUAAGAUCAAUUUGGUGCUCAAUCCCACGUAUAGGUGACAGCCCUGCCGGUAUCUCACUUGGAAAAACAUCAGCAUACUCCUGCAAAAUGUUAUGAACAGCAGGGGGCAAAGAAUGCAGCAUAUCUUCAAUUGAAAUCAAAACACCCUUACAUACCAAAGCAUAAGCAAUAGAUGUGGAAGCAAUUAGUUCAUUAACAUCAAAUUUAGUAGCAAGCAUGCAAUGUCCAUUUAAUCUUAUCUCAUCUUUGUUAUUUCCAUUGGUAUCUGCAUUGUUCUUAAUUUUAGCCUUGGUAAUUUUAGCAACUUCAUCACGUACGAUAGCUUCGGGAGACAUAGGUAGCAAAACAAUUUUCAUAUCAUGGUGCAUAAACGAAUACUGAUUUGAUCUACCAUGAUGUAUACAUUCCUUAUCAAAUUGCCAUGGUCUACCUAGCAGAAUAUUACAAGCUUCCAUAGGUACAACAUCACAUUCAACAACAUCAUGGUAUGAACCAAUAGUAAAAUUAAUUCGCACUAGUUUUGUUACCUUGGCCUUACCACUGUUGUUCAGCCACCGAAUGUGAUAUGGAUGUGGAUGUGGUUUGGUGGUAAGUGCAGGCUUCUCCACCAUGUCGCUGCUAGCCAAGUUGUUGCAGCUACCUCCAUCAAUAAUCAAACGACAAGAACGCUCUUUAAUAACAUACUUUGUUUGGAACAAUGUAUGCCGCUGAUUCUGCUCUACCUUCUCCGCUUGAGCACUAAGCACACGCUGCACAAUAAGACUCUCAUAAUGCUCUACAUUCUCUGUACCUAUCUGCUCUUCUAUUGCUUCAUCCCUACCUGUAUCAUCAGCAGCAAGCAAAGCACGUGUAUCAUCAUCAAAAUCACUAGCAGAGGAAUACCCACCAUCAGUGUUAACCACCAAAACACACUUGUUUGGACAAUCUCGCUGUACGUGCCCAUAGCCCUUGCAUCGAUGACACUGAACAUCUCUUGUUCUUCCCGUGGAAUUAACCGAGGAGGCACUAGCGAUUGGUCUCUGGGCUGAUUUAGUUGCUGUAUUUGUGGAAGAAUCAUGUGGUUUGUCGCUGUAGGAAGGUGGUGGAGCUAUUGAUCGGCUUGAUGGAAGAGGUACACCACCCGACAAUGUAGCAGAUGUGCGUUGUUGCCAGGAUUUCCCUGCAGAAUUGUUAGAUUUGGCACUAGAACGUCGUCCCUGCACUUCCCUUUCAACUUUACAAGCAAGACGAAACAAACGGGUUACGUUAGUAUAAUCUUUAUAAGCAAGAAUGUCCUGGAUUUCACGAUUUAACCCGCCCAAAAAUCUAGCCAUAGCAGGUUCUUCUUCCUCCUCUAAAUUACAUCGCAGCAUACCCAUUUGUAAUUCCUGAUAAUAUUCUUCUACACUUUUAGCACCUUGUCUCAAUUGCUGCAACUUAUUAAUCAUGUCACGUGCAUAGUAAGAAGGAACAAAUCUAGCCCUCAUGACUUGUUUCAACGCAUUCCAAGUUCUAGGUAUGUUAUUAGGAUUUUUCUUGCCAUGUUCUAUUGAAAGGAUCUAAUUGGCCUAGAGGGGGGGGUGAAUAGGCGUAUCUUAAAAACCUGAAACUCAAAAACUCAAGUUGCGGAAGUCAAAUGCCUGUCUGUACUACCGACAGUUUGGGCCGGUACUACUGGUGUCACACAGCCAGUAGUACCGACGCAAACUGCUGGUACUACCGACUCCUAAGACAGCUACGAAAUCAGAGUGUAAAGGGCUUAGAUUUCAGAUCUGAGUUUUACCCCACUUUCCUAGGUGUAGAAGAAGGUGUUGUUGAAGUCUCCUUAGCUUAGUUCUUCUCCACACCGUAGAUCAACCCUUGUUUACCUGUGAAAAGAGAAAAAGAUAGGAAUACCAAGAACACAAACAAGGGUAGUCGAAGCUACCUCCACAGCAAGACAAGGUAUUUUCUCCGAGGUUCGGCAAUCUCCACUAAGGAGUUCCUACGUCCCCGUUGUUGAGGUGACCACGAAGGUCUGACCACUUAGGUCUCCUCCUCAAGCAACCACAAAGGUUGGCUUGAUGUUUCCACUAAGAAUCAAGGGGUAAUACAAACACUUCGGGGUGCCCUCACAAAUGAAUCAACACGGGCAACCACGAAGAACGCCUAGCCGGCUAGGGUUCCAAGAACCCAAGAGUAACGAACACAAACCAAACCGGCAAGACGAGGAACAGAGUGCUCAAGUCACAGAUCGAGGCUCCCAACUCUCUAAUCUCACUUCUCUAGCUCGAAUCUCUCAAGAAAUGAAGUCUAGGAGCAAGAGGGAGAGAGAGUGGGUGAGACAAAGCUUGGAGACUGUUUUCUCAGAGUUGGAGUAGCUAGAAUGAGCAAGCCAACGGUUAGAAAAGAGGAAAGAGCUAUUUAUACUAGAGUACAGAAGACUGGCCGGUACUACCGGUGCAAACACCGGUACCACCGGCCCCCCAGAACUAAACGUGAGAAAGCUAAGAAAGAUGUGAGAAAAAAGGCCUACCGGUACUACCGGCCUUGGGCCGGUACUACCGGCCAGCGCCGGUACUACCGGUGGAAGGCCGGUACCACCGGCAGUGCAAAAUCUCGCAAAACAUGAGUUUUGCGGGAUUUUUGCCUGCCGGUACUACCGGCGUUUCACCGGUACUACCGGCGGUAGCCGGUACCACCGGUCAAAGCCCGGUACUACCGGUAGUUCAAUUUCUCGCAAAACUCAGGAGUAGAGCUGGCACUACCGGUACCACCGGCCCUGAGGGCCGGUACUACCGGCUCACCCUGGCAGAGAAGAAACUUUCCAGAAGUUCGUGUGUGCAAGUGUGUCUCUCAAGCGCAAGACCUAAGUUGACCUGAGCACCUUUAUCCUCAUCUUACCGACUCAAUUUGCAUCCCUCUUGAUAGUGCGGCGUUUCCUAUCACUCAAACAAGAAAUAAAACUAGGUAGCUUCUUGAGUUGAAACGUCGCUUAUAUGAAGAAAUUUUGGGGGUGCUGUGAUUCACCAAAUGUGUAAUUUUGAUUCCAUCAAUGAACUAACACCUGUAGAUUACACUUGAUAGACAUGUUAGUUCCUAAUUUGAUUGUCAUUAAUUAUCAAAACCCACACCGGGGGCGAAUGCACUUACAAACUCCACCUUUUUGGUAAUUGAUGACAACCAACUUAGGCUUAUAAAAGAUUGAAAGAAGUAGAGCUUUUGAAUUCCAAAAAUUAGGUUGGGCUCCCCCUUAAUGUAUGCAUUGAAUUUGGAAUUUCAAAUCUUGAUUAAUAUCAAGAUGGCAUACAUUAAGAUCAAGCUCCCCCUAAAUUUUGCAAUCCGUGGGGUGCCUAAAAGAGUGUGUGUGUGACAAGAAAUAAACCGUGAUGCGUAUGACAGGAUAUAUCACAAAGAGUAAAGGAAGAAUUUGAAUGAUUGUGCAAGAACCAAGGAACUCACAAUAACCAUUCAAAAACAACAUUGCACCAACAAAAGUCUAAAGAAGCUAACACAAGCAGGAUAUAACGAGAAAUAACACAACCAUGAGGAUCAGCUGAGGUGGACUGCUCAUGAGGGGGUGCAACAGAAACAGAGGCCCUAGUGACAUUGUCCGCAGCACCAAAGAUAUCCUGAUAAGCAAAGCCAGCCUCGGUGUCCUCCAUAGAGAAACCAGCAGGAAUCCCACCACCAUAGAAUGGAUCAAAAGCAGAGGGAGGAUCCUGCUGCUCCUCAUCUUCAUCAACAGAAGGCCGAUGCAUGUUGUCAUAAUCAGCAUAGGGGUCCUGGAACUCACGAAGAGGAGAGGACGGAGGAAGAGCUGCCUUCUCCUCAAGACGAUGGAGACGCUGAUCGGUCUUCUUUUGGCAAUAGCAAAAAUAGGAGAAGAACCGCUGCAGCGCAUGACGGGUAGGACUACGGCGCCCACGACCGCUGUCCUGAGGAGGGAUGGCUUCCCCUUGAGCAUCAGCAGCACCAGCAGGAGUGGCAAAACCAGGGAUAGCAGCACCAGGAGUAGCAGCACCAGCAGGACUGUGAGGAGGAGCAUGAGGAGCACCCAAGUGCUUGGCACGGACCGGAGCAUGAAUGCAAGGGUGCGAGAACUGCAUGCCAGUUACUUGCUCAAUAAUAUGCAUCAGAUAUGGAGCAUAGGGCAGGUACUUGUUGGGAUCCACGGACGCAUCAGCAAUCUUGUUCCACAUGAAAUCCGAGACACCGAAGCGGCCACCAUUGGCACCAAAGCGAGCCAAAAUCUUAGGAGCAUCUUGGCGAAGGUGAAUGGAAUCUCCAAACUUGGGGUCAAUGGUGUAGCGGAUCAGGUUGUUCAGCACAUAGAAGUAAGGCUUCAGGUGAGUGGUCUUGAGAUCCGGAUGAGCUCCUGGCUUGUACAUUUCAGCAGCAUCAAGGUCAGCCUCAGAAAUCCCCUCAGCAAAGAUGGUAGACAGCCGGGGUGCAUCUCGAUCCAAGUGAUCAAAACCAAGCAAGCGAGAGAAAGUGAUAAAAUCAAGGCGAUAGUGAACACCUUGAGUCAUCCAAUGCAGCACCCUAGAAGCUUGAUCGACCCACAAAGUUGCCCAAAACUGAAAGAUGAUCUCCUCAUUCCAAUUCUUCUCAAGGGUCAUAAGAGGAAGAAUGCGCCAUUCUUCAAGCCUGUUAAUCAAAGCAGUGACCUCCGGAUGAUUGAAAUCUUGUAAGGACUUGAGGACCACAUACUUGUGCUGAAAGAGUGGUCCAUUCUUGGUGGCUUUGCCGCCCUUGUAGAGGACGGACUCAUAAAAGUCAUUGUGAAACUGAGACCAAAACCUCUCCUCAACUCCCUCAAACUUGAUGAAUUUGUACGGGUUCUCGCUGCGCUGAGUUCUUAAGUCCGUAAGACGCUUCUUGUAAUCAAUACCAAAUCGGGGCAGCGUACCAGAGGGAAUAGAGGGCCUCCGGACAUGAGCAUUGAACUGAGGAUGCCAUUGGAGAGUCCGGCGAGCACCAACCUCACUGAGAUGCAGAGGCGAGCGACGAAGGACAUUGGGGUCCAUGGAUCUGCCCUCCUCUUGCACAGGAUCAGGCACAGCUUGGCUUCGAACUCUAGCUUGAUGGGAAGGAGGCGGACACGGGACGGUGUGGGUGUGAAGAGGGGCAGGAAUGCCUUCAUCACCGGCGGAAGCGCCAGCCGCACCCGAACUGCGUGAAGGGGUUCCACGACCACGCACAGCCCGGUCCGCAGACCGACCACCGGCAUCACUGGAGCGAGGACGAGCACCACGAGGAGGGUUCUUGCGCUUGCCGGAAUCCAUGCUACAACACCACAAAGAGGGGCAGCAAGAGAACGUUACAAGGCCAUACUAGAAUGUAACAAGAAAUCGAUCAAGGCGAUGGGAGGAACUGCCGUGCUCACAGGGGCCGGUACUACCGGCGGCACCGUGGAGCAAGGGAAUCACCUCCAAUCGACCAAAUCGACCAUGGGAAAGGCGCAUAAAACAUUCUAGAGGCAAGAACACACUAAGAUAAGGAAAGGAGUGCGAGGAAUCGGCCUAAAAAUAGGUACAUUGGGAGAUCGGGCAAUACCAAGAUGUACCUUGCGUCACGAAGAAAAGGGGCCGAAUCCAAGCAAACCCACGAGUCUUGGGGUCAACCAAGGACCUCCACGCGUCCCUCACGGCCGGGGCAAGGUCCUCCUCAAAGAUCGGGCGAAGAAGACGGAGGAGCCGAGAGAUCGGGGCAAGAGAAGAGCCGCCGCCGCCGUGAGAAGGAGAGAGAGAAAGGGACGGGCGGGUGGGGAAGAGAUGGGAAAGAGAAAUAACUGCGGGGGGCUUAUAUACCGCAGUAAAAAAAAAGCACUGCCGGUACUACCGGCUUCAGGGGCCGGUACCACCGGCGGGCCAGAGACCUGCGAGAGGAAUUCUGUGGGAUUUUGGCAUACCGGUGCUACCGGGCUUUGGCCGGUACCACCGGCUGGAGCCGGUACCAUCAGUGCUAGGCGCCGGUACCACCGGUAGGGCAGGAAAAACAGCGCUUAAAGGUGAACUAGUGUGGCAAACCAAAAAACAAAUCAGUCAUGGCCAGAUUUCAUCAAAUCAUCACAAAACAAUGGCCAUGCUUGAGAUGUGAAAAAUAGAUUUUGAAAGACACAAGAGUUUUCACAAAGAUUUGUCCUUUCUAAUCAAACAAGUGUGUGCAAGACAUCAACCCAUGUUACGAGAAUCAACGAUAUUUAGUUCACGCCUCAAAGCACAAAAUCUUGACUCAUCUAGAGGUUUAGUGAAGAUAUCGGCUAACUGGUAUUCGGUUCUCACAUGUUGCACAGCGAUAUCUCCUUUGGAUUGAUGGUCUCUCAGGAAGUGAUGUCAAAUGUCUAUGUGCUUUGUUCUAGAGUGGUUCACAGGGUUAUCAGCUAGCUUGAUUGCCCCCUCAUUGUCACAUAAGAGGGGAAUAUUGCUUUGCUCACAACCAAAGUCUCUCAAGGUUUGCUUCAUCCAAAGUAGUUGGGCACAGCAAGCGUCGGCCGCCACAUACUCGGCUUCAGCGGUGGAGAGGGCAAUGGAGUUUUGUUUCUUAGAACUCCAGGACACCAAAGACCUACCAAGGAACUGGCAAGUCCCUGAUGUACUCUUUCGCUCUACCCUGCAACCGGCAUAGUCCGAGUCGGAGUAGCCAAGUAGAGUGAAAGUGGAGCCCUUUGGGUACCAUAAGCCAAGAUUAGGAGUGAACACAAGAUAUCGAAAGAUUCUCUUAACAGCCAUAAGAUGACAUUCUUUCGGAUUAGCUUGAAACCUUGCACACAUGCACACAAUAAGCAUAAUAUCAGGCCUAGAUGCACAAAGGUAAAGCAAAGAUCCAAUCAUGGAGCGAUAUACCUUUUGAUCAAUGGCCUUGCCGUCUCCAUCAAGGUCAAGAUGUCCGGUUGUUGGCAUUGGUGUCUUUAUGGGUUUGGCCUUGUCCAUGUCAAACUUCUUUAGCAUGUCAGUGGUGUACUUGGUUUGACUUAUGAAUGUGCCGUCCUUGAGUUGCUUGAUUUGAAAUCCAAGGAAGUACGUCAACUCCCCCAUCAUGGACAUCUCGAACCUCUUGGUCAUAAUCCUACUAAAUUCCUCACUGAAGUCCGCAUUAGUACUACCAAAUAUAAUGUCAUCGACAUAUAUUUGGCAUAUAAAAAUAUCAUUAUUGACUUUGCGAGUAAAUAAAGUGGGAUCAGCUUUCCCAAUCUCAAACCCUUGUUUGAGUAGGAAAUCCUUGAGACAAUCAUACCAAGCUCUAGGGGCUUGCUUAAGCCCAUAGAGUGCCUUGUCCAGCUUGUAUACAUGAUCAGGAUGAUGUGGAUCUUCAAAACCCGGUGGUUGCUCCACGUACACGGUUUCGGAGAGGGGGCCAUUUAGGAAUGCACUUUUCACGUCCAUUUGAAACAACUUGAAAUCAUGGUGAGCAGCAAAGGCAAGUAAUAUACGAAUAGAUUCAAGCCUAGCUACAGGUGCAUAAGUCUCCCCAAAAUCCAAACCUUCGAUUUGAGUGAAACCUUUGGCUACCAACCGAGCCUUGUUUCUAGUGACCACGCCAUACUCAUCUUCUUUGUUGCGGAAGACCCAUUUGGUACCUAUCACGUUUUGCUUGGGUCUUUCCACCAAGGACCAGACUUCAUUCCUAGUGAAGUUGUUCAACUCUUCUUGCAUAGCCAUCACCCAAUCCGGAUCCGCCAAGGCAUCCUCCACCCUAUUCGGCAACAUAGAGGAGACAAAAGAGUAAUGUUCACAAAAACCAACUAAACGAGAGCGAGUUGUUACCCCUCGUUGUAUGUCUCCCAAGAUGCUAUCAACGGGAUGAUCCCGUUGAAUGGAGUGAUGAACUCUUGGAUGUGGCACUGCUGUUCUUGUUUGAAUGGGACCAUCAUCUUCAUCUUCAUGGUCUUGGUUGAUUGGAGAGUCUAGAUUUUGAGCGUUUUGAUCUCCAUCUUGGUUUGGUUCUUGUGCUUGAGGUGGAUCUUGUUUAGCUUGUUCUCUUGAGUCAUGACCUCUUCUUGAUGUGGAAGCAUCAUCAUGGGUAUUGGUUGACCCAUGAUGCAGGUUUGGGUCACGAGAAAUUUGCAUGUGUGCAUCAUCUUCUUCUUCUUCAACGGGUUUCACUUCACCGGUAGCAAGCUUUUUGAUUACUUGGUGUGAUGGCUCUUCUUUACCUAAAAUUUCAGCAUUGACUUGCUCUUUUUGAGAGCCGUCGCUUUCAUCAAAAGUCACGUCUACCGCUAUUUCAAUUUGACCGGUGGUCUCAUUGAAAACACGAUAGCUAUGUUGAUUAGUAGCAUAACCAAGUAAGAAUCCUUCAUCAACCUUUGGUGCGAACUUAGAGAUUUUGGAUCUUUUAUUAAGUAUGAAACACUUGCAUCCAAAAACUCUGAAGUAAUCCACCUUAGGCUUUUUACCGGUUAGGGGCUCGUAGGCAGUUUUCUUCCUCAGCUUGUGAAGAUAUAGGCGGUUGAUUGCAUGACAUGCCGUGUUAACGGCUUCUGCCCAAUAAUCCUUUUCAGAGAUCUUGUAUUCAUCCAACAUUGCUCUUGCGGCUUCAAUGAGUGUUCGGUUCUUUCUUUCCACCACACCGUUUUGUUGAGGAGUAUAUGCAACCGAGAACUCAUGCUUGAUGCCUUCUUCAUCAAGGUAUGCUUCAAUGUUGGUGUUUCUAAAUUCAGUCCCGUUGUCGCUUCUCACUUUCUUGAUCUUCACUUCAAACUCAUUUUGAGCCCUUCUUGCAAACUUCUUGAAGAUCCCUUGAGUCUCACUCUUGUCCUUCAAAAAGAAUACCCACGUGAAGCGAGAAAAGUCAUCGACAAUUACAAAACCAUAUUUGUUACCUCCAAUGCUUAUGUAAGCAUUGGGUCCGAAUAAAUCCAUGUGAAGAAGCUCAAGUGGUCUUGAUGUAGUCACGAUGUUCUUCGCGGGAUGCUUGGCUCCAACUUGUUUUCCCGCUUGACAUGCACUGCAAAUUCUAUCUUUCUCAAAAGAAACAUUCGUUAGUCCUAGGAAGUGUUCACCUCUUUGAAGAUCGGCCAAGUUCCUCAUCCCAACAUGGGCUAGACGGCGAUGCCACAGCCAGCCCAUGCUAGAUUUUGCCACUAAACAAGUCUCGGACCCCACUCUACUAGCUGAAAAAUCAACUAGAUAGAGUUUGCCCUUUAGUUGACCCGUAAAAGCAAUAGAGGAAUCCGACCUUCUAGAGACUUCCACAUCCUUAUCCGUAAAGAGACAAUUGUAACCCUUCUCACAAAGUUGUGAGACGGACAACAAAUUGUAUCCCAACGAAUCCACAAGCAAAACAUUUGAAAUGGAAUUAUCAUUUGAAAUUGCAAUUUUACCUAAACCAAGGAUAUCUCCUUUACUAUUGUCACCAAACACAAUUCUUUCACUUGUGGUUUGAUUUGAUUGAAAGGAGGUGAACAUGCUCUUCUCUCCGGUCAUGUGAUUGGUGCAUCCACUAUCGAGCACCCAACUUGGCCCACCGGAGGAAUAAACCUACAAGAUAAGAUUAAGCCUUGUUUUAGGUCCCGAGUUGGAACCUAGGGGGUUAGACACAUAAGAUUUGGGCACCCAAACACUCCUCAAGAUUUGUCUCUUCUUGAGGGCGCCCACAUACUUCACAACAAUCUUGCCAUCCUUAUCCCAACAACACAUGUAAUCACAGAUAUGAUUGCGUGAGAUAGGCUCUUGUUGCUUGGGCAUUUCCCUUUGCUUCUUUUUGAUGUCCUUGUUGCUUGCAAGUGGAAUUGUAGGAGUGACAACAUUGUUCACUUUGUCAAUAAGGUCAACAAGAGGCACACUCUUGUUGAACUUCACACAAGCCACCCCAUUUAUCAUGUUUCUUCCAUUGGCUCUACCAUUAUACCUGUUGUAUCCGAGGCCAUCCUUGAUUAUGGGGUGCCUUGAUGCCUUGAACACAUUUGCCGGUUGCUUGUCCUUGCACUUGCAACCAAUCUUGACAAUUGUGUUUAAUCUUUGGAUCUCCUUGUCCUUCUUUGCUAACUCAUCAAGGUUAGUGAGACAAGCAUUUAUGUCAACAUUUAUGCAUCUUUCACAGCUUUUACUUGUAGAAGCCUUUCAAUCCUUGGAAGAGUUAGAGGUGCUAGACCAAAGCUUUUCAUAGUUUAGUUCAAGCUCAUGAUAUUUUGUUGUCAAGCUUGUGAGGCUUUCUUGAGCCAAACUAUGAUCAUUCUUUAGGCUAGCCAAAGAUCCAUUGAGUGAGGAAUGUUCCUUAGUCAAUCGCUCAUUGGAGUUUUUGACUAGAGACAAUUCUACACUCAAUUUCUCAACUCUCUCCUUUUCCUUGGAGAGACAUACUUCGAGCCCUUGGUUCUUCUCCCUUUCCUCUAGGAGCAGUUCGCCUUGCGACUCGAUGCAUGACUCAAGCUUGUCAUUAGCGUAUAUUAGCUUUAGAAUUUUAGUUGCAGCAGCUUUACCAUAUUUCUUAAUGAGAUUGUUGGCAUAGUUUUCAUCAUCUUCAUUUUCACUAUCAUAGUCACUAGUGGUUUGAGGAGAGGAGUCAGUUUGUACCUUGUCUCCUUUUGCCAUAAGGCAUGUAGGAGUGUCAUCAUCGUCAUCGGAGAGAUUGGCGAAGAGCCUAGGCGAUGAAUGGGUGUCGGAGAUAAGUGCUGUUGAUGAGGCAACGUUGGUGAGGAUCUUGUUUGGGGAGGAUCCUUCUUGUACUGCGAUGGCAGCUACACUCUUCUUCUCAUUGUCAUCAUCAUCACUGUCACUGUCCGAUUGCCAUUCUUGCCCGAGGUGAGCUUCCCCUUUCUUCUUGUCUUUGUACUUCUUGUCAUUUUGUUUGGUGUACCUUGACUUUUUUCCUUUAUUGGGACAAUCUGCUGCAAGAUGGCCGGUGUCACCACACUCAUAGCAAAACCUCUUCCUAUAUGGCUUGCUUCCUCCAUAUCUCCUCAUCUUAUCUUUCUUCAUUCUCAGAUAGUUCUUAUAGUUUCCCACUAGCAUAGCUUGUUCUUCAUCAAGAUCAUCAUCAUCUUUGUGCUUAUGCUCACAACAUCCUUUGUUGCAAUGGCUUGACUCACUUGCAUGUGAAGCUGUGAGUGCUAUGUUCUUUCUUUGAUUUAAGGCUUCUUUUGCUUCAUCAUCCAAGACUUCAUGAUGCAUCAACUUUGCAAGCAUUUCUUGAGGUGUCAUAGUGUGAUAGUUGUCUUUCUCCAUGAUGACGGAUGCAAGCAUGUUGUUCCUUUGUCUAUACACUCUACAAAUCUUUCUUGCUGCAGAGUUGUCAUCCCAUGUUGUUGCUCCAAGUGCUCUAAUCUGAUUGAGACAGAGUUUGACUUGUGGGAUCUGAUUGUCUCAGAGAUAGAGGACACCAUCUCCGAGAGCUUCAGGGGCCGGCGUCAGUUGCCCUACGCACAUUGGAUCACUCUGCUUAUACUUCGUGCUAGGCCACUACCUCUGCCAGCUCACUUGCAGAGGGAGUUGACAGAGUCCGACACCGUCUUCCCCCACUACGACCCCCGGCAGAUGUUGAGAGCGCACCACGACCUUCGCGGUGCCCCUCCUCCUCGUGCUCCACGUGGACCAGUGCCCCCACCUUCUCCGAGGGGCACUCGCAGUACAGCAGCAGUUGCUGAGACAGAGGAGCAGCAGGAUAUAGCUAUUGGGGCGUUCGCCGAUGCAGAGGCAGAGGGCGAGUUUGACUUCGCCUCAGACAGUUCAGACGACGACUAUCAGCCGCCUGUGACUGACCUUCCUCCCAGAGCUCACGACCACGAGGCAGGUGGUUCUUCGAGUGCUUCAGACCCCGCCCUGCUUGCUAUACUAGAGGGUAUGAGGGCAGACCAGCGCCGUGCAGCUGAGGAGCAGGCGAGACGCGACAGAGAUCAGGCUGCCAUCAAUGCAGCCAUGCAGGCCAGGCAGGAUGAGCUCCAGCGUCAGCUUCUCACCUUUCAGGAGCAGCAGCUUGCUUUCCAGGCCCAGCAGACAGCGAUGAUGGCCGCUCUCAUGGCCGCCUCCGGGAUUCAGCUACUGCAGAUCCAGCUCCCAGGCACGUCGUCCGUCAGGCCCCCUACUCCUGCGCCCCAGACUCAGAGCCCGUCACAGCAGCCGCUCCAGCUACCAGCUCAGAGUCAGCCGUUUUCGACGCCACAGCACCAGGUCUCUCAGGGUGCUAUCACUUCAGGCUUUGAGCAGGUACCGCAGUUUACCCCUCUCCGCUCAGGCUUCACCCCUCAGUCAGCUUCAGCGUCACAGCUUGUGUGGGACUCGCAGACAGAUCCGCACCUCAGCUUCACCUACAGUGCUCUGACUGGUGACCCUACGCCUCCUCCUCUGCAGGCUCCUACAGUCUUUACGGCGCCAGUUACCACUACAGAGCUUCUGUCGUCGUCCGUAGAGUCGUCCGAGCAGCUUGCACUGUCUACUACAGUACCAGAGACGACAGCUACAGCGACUGAGUCCGUGCCAGCUUCGUCAGCCGGACUUGAGCAGCCAGCACAGCCUGUGACAGUGCCAGAGCAGACCCGGACCGCUUCUCCAGCACAUGCAGCUUCAGAGGGUCACUCCACCUCCUCCGCCUCGACGGCCGAUAGUUCCGAUGAUGCAGCUCGUUUUGUGGCCGCGCCGAGGGACUCUUCUGCUCCGCCUCCUCCGCCGUCUUCUUAGGUUUUUGGCGCUUGAUGCCAAAGGGGGAGAGAGUGCGUAUGAGAGAGUUAGCCAGUUAGGGGGAGCUAGAGAGGGAGUUUAUUCUUUUGAGAUACUUUCGAUGUGUGCUACUUCAUCAUGCAUCAUGUUUACUUUUAUGCAUUUACACUUGUGUGAGAUACUAUGGUUAUGAGACAUGAUUUGUGCUUUAUGUGAUAUCUUAAUGUCAUGUGUUUGGCUCAUAUUAUCUUUGCUUCCGCGUUUCUACUCCGAUGUAACUAUGAGCCUUAUGUUUAUAUCCUGUUAUAUACCACUCACAUAUUUGGAUGCAGGAUAUUGGACUUGGUUGAUAUAAGCAUGUCUAAUACCUUAGUUCUUAUUGUAACAUGCUUAUUGAAACCAAGUCACUUUAAAAACCUCAACUCCUUUCAUACUCGAGGUUGUCAUCAAUCACCAAAAAGGGGGAGAUUGAAAGAGCAUCUAGGCCCCUAGUGGUUUCGGUGAUUAAUGACAUUGUUGAUUACUAUGACUAACGUGUGUUUUGCAGAGGCAAAGUCAUAAGGUAAGGUCAUGGUAUAUAGGUACUCGAUGGACAGGGACGUACAUGCCUACUUAAUAGUUGAAAUCGUUUCGGUUUUCGAAGGAUCGAUGGACAUCGUCAAGACUAGACUAGGUCUAAGUGCCAUAUGGUGAGGAAGGGCACUUAGAGUAGUUUAGGACUUUGUUUUCCUUUGACCGUACUAUUAAGAGGGGCUUUGAUCUAGUAGCUUGACUUAGGCAAGGCUUUAGGUUUAGGUGUGGUGCACACUUGGUAAACCUAGCACUAGGCAGCUCAGAGAUAGUCCUUAGAUCGAGAGGAACCAACUUCGUUUUGGAGCGAUCGCGUUUCAACGAAGUUUGGGUGCCCAAAGGGGCACCGGACGCUGCACCGGACGCUCUGUGAGUGCGUCUGGUGAGGUCCUUAGCCGUUAGAAAAGCUUGGUGCUUAGGGUUAGGCACCGGACGCUAGCACCAGACGCACCGGGUAGCGUCCGGUCCCAUGCGCAGGGAGCAUGUAAAGUUAUUCCGAGCACCGGACGGUGCACCGGACGCUGAGAGUUAGCGUCCGGUGAACUGUCAGAGAAAAGAGCAGGUAGCCGUUAUGAAGCACUGGACACUCGGUGCAGUGCGUCCAGUGCAACAUAAUGUGCGUCCGGUGACCCCGUUUUCAGUGGAAAACGGUUGGCCGACCUGUGGACUUCGUGGAUAGUAUUUAUACUCCUCCACCUCGUCCAUGAGAGCCCUCUUGCCCAUUUGAACAUCAGAGAAACUUGUUUGUGGAGCAAGAGAGUUGCAAGAGCCUAGAGAGGAUUGAGAUUUGAGUGAUUUCUUGAGAGAAUCCUUCUCUAGUGAGUUCCAAGAGUCAAGUGUGCAUCCACCACUCUCUAGAGCCUUGUUUGGGUCAAGUGAGCGUUCUUUGCUUGUUACUCUUGGUGAUCGCCAUCACCUAGACGGUUCGGUGGUGAUUGGAGGCACGAAGACCGCCCAGGAGUUCUUGUGGGUGGCUCGUGUCAAGCUUGUGAGCGGUUUUGGGCGAUUCACCGCGACGGAGUGUCGAAGAAUCAGCCCGUAGAGAGCACUUGGUCCUUGCACGGACCAAGGGGGAGCAAGACCCUUGCGCGGGUGCUCCAACGAGGACUAGUGGAGAGUGGCGACUCUCCGAUACCUCGGCAAAACAUCGCCGAGCACUUUCUUCCACUACUCCUUUACUUUCUAGCAUUUACUUUGUGUUUUUACAUUCUUAGAAUUGCCUUGCUAGAAUAGGAUUGGAACUAGGUCGCAAAACCUUUUAUCCGGUAGCUCUCUAAGUCACACUAGGCACAAGGGGUUGAAUUGGAGCUUAUAGGUUGCUUAAAUUUUUAGAGAAGCCCAAUUCACCCCCCACUUGGGCAUCUUGAUCCUUUCAACACUGUCUCUAAACAGACGGAAGUGAGAUUCCAUAUGACACCCAUCUAGGAGUUCCAUCUGGUGCGUCCAAAUUGAUUUCUGAGCAUAUGGUAUGUUCCAUGCAAAUCGUGCACCUAUCUUGUAUCAAGAUUAGCACUAUCUCUAAACAGGCCGAACCGAGCUUUCACUUGAGCCUUUUACCUAGGAGUACCAUCGGGUGCGUCCAAAAUGGUUUCUUAGCCUAGGCUGCAUUAUGUGCAAACCUUGCACCUAUCUUGCACCGAAACUAACAUUGUCUCCAAACACACCGAAGCAAGAUUUCGUAUGACACACGUAAUCUAGGAGUUCCAUCAUGUGCGUCCAGAUUGAUUUUCAAGUAUUUGGUAUGUUCCAUGCAAACCGUGCACCUAUCUUGCAUCAAGAUUAGCACUAUCUCCAAACAGACCGAACCGAGCAUCCACUUGAGCCCCUUCACCUAGGAGUACCAACAAGUGCGUCCAAAAUGAUUUCUUAGAGUAUGGUGCAUUAGGUGCAAACUGUGGACCUAUUUUGCACCGAAACUAACAAUGUCUCCAAAUGGACUGAAGUGAGAAUCCAUAUGACACACGUCAUCAAGGAGUUCCAUCGGGUGCAUCCAAAUUGAUUUCCAACCAUAUAGUAUGUUCCUUGCAAACCAUGCACCUACCUUGCAUAAGGAUUAGCACUAUCUCCAAACUGACCGAACCAAGCUUCCACUUGAGUCUCUUCACAAAGGAGUACCAAAUAGUGCGUCCAAAAUGGUUUCUUAGACUACGGUGCAUUAGGCGCAAACUGUGCAUCUAUCUUGCACUAAAACUUACAAUGUCUACAAAUGGACUGAACCAAGAUUCCAUAUGACACACGUCAUCUAGGAGUUCCAUUGGGUGCGUCCAAAUUGAUUUCUAAACAUAUGGUAUGUUCAUUGCAAAUCAUGCACCUAUAUUGCAUCAAGAUUAGCACUAUCUCCAAACAGAUCAAAUCGAGCUUCCACUUGAGCCUCUUCACUGAAGUACCAACAGGUGCUUCCAGAAUGGUUUCUUAGACUAUGGUGUGUUAGGCGCAAACCAUGCCCAUAUCUUGCACUGAAACUAACACUAUUUCUAAACAGAUCAAAGCAAGAGUCCAUAAGACACACGUCGUCAAGGAGUUCCACCGGGUGCAUCCAAAUUGAUUUCCAAGCAUAUGGUAUGUUCCAUGCAAACCGUGCACCUAUCUGGCAUCAAGAUUAGCACUAUCUCCAAAUAGACCAAACCGAGCAUCCACUUGAGCCCCUUCACCUAGGAGUACCAACAAGUGCGUCCAAAAUGGUUUCUUAGACUAUGGUGCAUUAGGUGCAAAUUGUGCACCUAUCUUGCAACGAAACUAACAAUGUCUCCAAAUGGACCGAAGCGAGAUUCCAUAUGACACACGUCAUCAAGGAGUUCCAUCGGGUGCAUCCAAAUUGAUUUCCAAGCAUAUGGUAUGUUCCAUGCAAACCAUGCACCUACCUUGCAUAAGGAUUAGCAGUAUCUCCAAACUGACCGAACCAAGCUUCCACUUGAGCCUCUUCACAAAGGAGUACCAAAUAGUGCAUCCAAAAUGGUUUCUUAUACUACGGUGCAUUAGGCGCAAACUAUGCACCUAUCUUACACUAAAACUUAAAAUGUCUACAAAUGGACCGAACCAAGAUUCCAUAUGACACACGUCAUCUAGGAGUUCCAUUGGGUGCGUCCAAAUUGAUUUCAAAGCAUGUGGUAUGUUCCUUGCAAAUCGUACACCUAUCUUUCAUCAAGAUUAGCACUAUCUCCAAAUAGAUCAAACCGAGCUUCCACUUGAGCCUCUUCACCGAAGUACCAACAGGUGCUUCCAAAAUGGUUUCUUAGACUAUGGUGCGUUAGGCGCACACCAUGCCCAUAUGUUGCACUGAAACUAACACUAUUUGUAAACAAACCAAAGCAAGAGUCCAUAAGACACACGUCAUCAAGGAGUUCCACCGGGUGCAUCCAAAUUGAUUUCCAAGCAUAUGGUAUGUUCCAUGCAAACCGUGCACCUAUCUUGCAUCAAGAUUAGCACUAUCUCCAAACAGACCGAACCGAGCUUCCACUUGAGCCUCUUCAUCUAGAAGUACAAACAGGUGCAUCAAAAAUGGUUUCUUAGACUAUGGUGCAUUAGGCACAAACUAUGCACCUAUCUUGCACCGAAACUAACAUUGUCUCCAAAUGGACCAAAGCGAGAUUCCAUAUGACACACGUCAUCUAGGAGUUCCAUUGGGUGCGUCCAAAUUGAUUUCUUAACAUAUGGUACGUUGCAUGCAAGCUGUGCAACUAUCUUGCAUCAAGAUUAGCACUAUAGCCGAACAGACCAAAUCGAGCCUCCACUUGAGGCUCUUCAACUACGACUACCAUCGAGUGCGUCUAAAAUGGUUUCUUAGCCUAUGGUGCAUUAGGCGUAAACCGUGCACAUAUCUUCUACCAAAACUAACACUGUCUCUAAACGAACCGAAGCAAGAUUCAUAUGACACACAUCAUCAAGGAGUUAUAUCAGGUGCGUCCUAAUUGAUUUCUGAGCAUAUCAUAUGUUCCAUGCAAACCGUGCAUCUAUCUUGCAUCAAGAUUAGCACUAUCUCCAAAUAGACCCAACCGAGCUGUCACUUGAGCCCCUUGACCUAGGAGUACCAUCGGGUGCGUCCAAAAUGGUUUCUUAUGCUAUGGUGCAUUAGGUGCAAACCGUGCACCUAUCUUGUACCAAAACUAACACUGUCUCUAAACGGACGGAAGUGAGAUUCCAUAUGACACCCAUCUAGGAGUUCCAUCUGGUGCGUCCAAAUUGAUUUCCGAGCAUAUGGUAUGUUCCAUGCAAAUCGUGCACUAUCUUGCAUCAAGAUUAGCACUAUCUCUAAAUAGACCAAACCGAGCUUCCACAUGAGCCUCUUCAUCUAGAAGUACAAACAGGUGCAUCAAAAAUGGUGUCUUAGACUAUGGUGCAUUAGGCGCAAACCAUGCCCAUAUCUUGCACUGAAACUAACACUAUUUCUAAACAGACCAAAGCGAGAUUCCAUAAGACACACGUCAUCAAGGAGUUCCAUCGGGUGCAUCCAAAUUGAUUUCCAAGCAAAUGGUAUGUUCCAUGCAAACCGUGCACCUAUCUUGCAUCAAGAUUAGCACUACUCCAAACAGACCAAACCGAGCUUCCACUUGAGCCUCUUCAUCUAGAAGUACAAACAGGUGCAUCAAAAAUGGUUUCUUAGACUAUGGUGCAUUAUGCACAAACUAUGCACCUAUAUUGUACCGAAACUAACAUUGUCUCCAAAUGGACCAAAGCGAGAUUCCAUAUGACACACGUCAUCUAGGAGUUCCAUUGGGUGCGUUCAAAUUGAUUUCUUAACAUAUGGUAUGUUCCAUCAAACUGUGCAACUAUCUUGCAUCAAGAUUAGCACUAUAUCCGAACAGACCAAAUCGAGCCUCCACUUGAGCCUCUUCAACUACGAGUACCAUCGGGUGCGUCUAAAAUGGUUUCUUAGCCAAUGGUGCAUUAGGCCUAAACCGUGCACAUAUCUUCUACCAAAACUAACACGGUCUCUAAACGAACCGAAGCACUAUCUCCAAACAGAUCAAACCGAGCUUCCACUUGAGCCUCUUCACCGAAGUACCAACAGGUGCUUCCAAAAUGGUGUCUUAGACUAUGGUGCAUUAGGCGCAAACCAUGCCCAUAUCUUGCACUGAAACUAACACUAUUUCUAAACAAACCAAAGCGAGAGUCCAUAAGACACACGUCAUCAAGGAGUUCCACCGGGUGCAUCCAAAUUGAUUUCCAAGCAUAUGGUAUGUUCCAUGCAAACCGUGCACCUAUCUGGCAUCAAGAUUAGCACUAUCUCCAAAUAGACCGAACCGAGCAUCCAAUUGAGCCCCUUCACCUAGGAGUACCAACAAGUGCGUCCAAAAUGGUUUCUUAGACUAUGGUGCAUUAGGUGCAAAUUGUGCACCUAUCUUGCACCGAAACUAACAAUGUCUCCAAAUGGACCGAAGUGAGAUUCCAUAUGACACACGUCAUCAAGGAGUUCCAUCGGGUGCAUCCAAAUUGUUUUCCAUGCAUAUGGUAUGUUCCAUGCAAACCAUGCACCUACCUUGCAUAAGGAUUAGCACUAUCUCCAAACUGACCGAAUCAGGCUUCCACUUGAGCCUCUUCACAAAGGAGUACCAAAUAGUGCGUCCAAAAUGGUUUCUUAGACUACGGUGCAUUAGGCGUAAACAGUGCACCUAUCUUACACUAAAACUUAAAAUGUCUACAAAUGGACCGAACCAAGAUUCCAUAUGACACACGUCAUCUAGGAGUUCCAUUGGGUGCGUCCAAAUUGAUUUCUGAGCAUAUGUUAUGUUCCAUGCAAAUCAUGCACCUAUCUUGCAUCAAGAUUAGCACUAUCUCCAAACAGAUCAAACCGAGCUUCCACUUGAGCCUCUUCACCGAAGUACCAACAGGUGCUUCCAAAAUGGUUUCUUAGACUAUGGUGCGUUAGGCGCAAACCAUGCCCAUAUCUUGCACUGAAACUAACACUAUUUCUAAACAAACCAAAGCAAUAGUCCAUAAGACACACGUCAUCAAGGAGUUCCACCGGGUGCAUCCAAAUUGAUUUCCAAGCAUAUGGUAUGUUCCAUGCAAACCGUGCACCUAUCUGGCAUCAAGAUUAGCACUAUCUCCAAAUAGACCGAACCGAGCAUCCACUUGAGCCCCUUCACCUAGGAGUACCAACAAGUGCGUCCAAAAUGGUUUCUUAGACUAUGGUGCAUUAGGUGCAAAUUGUGCACCUAUCUUGCACCGAAACUAACAAUGUCUCCAAAUGGACCGAAGUGAGCUUCCAUAUGACACACGUCAUGAAGGAGUUCCAUCGGGUGCAUCCAAAUUCAUUUCCAAGCAUAUGGUAUGUUCCAUGCAAACCAUGCACCUACCUUGCAUAAGGAUUAGCACUAUCUCCAAACUGACCGAACCAAGCUUCCACUUGUGCCUCUUCACAAAGGAGUACCAAAUAGUGCGUCCAAAAUUGUUUCUUAGACUGCGGUGCAUUAGGCGCAAACUGUGCACCUAUCUUACACUAAAACUUAAAAUGUCUACAAAUGGACCGAACCAAGAUUCCAUAUGACACACGUCAUCUAGGAGUUCCAUUGGGUGCGUCCAAAUUGAUUUCUAAGCAUAUGGUAUGUUCCUUGCAAAUCAUGCACCUAUCUUGCAUCAAGAUUAGCACUAUCUCCAAACAGAUCAAACCGAGCUUCCACUUGAGCCUCUUCACCGAAGUACCAACAGGUGCUUCGAAAAUGGUUUCUUAGACUAUGGUGCGUUAGGUGCAAACCAUGCCCAUAUCUUGCACUGAAACUAACACUAUUUCUAAAUAGACCAAAGCGAGAUUCCAUAAGACACACGUCGUCAAGGAGUUCCAUCGGGUGCAUCCAAAUUGAUUUCCAAGCAAAUGGUAUGUUCCAUGCAAACCGUGCACCUAUCUUGCAUCAAGAUUAGCACUACUCCAAACAGACCAAACCGAGCUUCCACUUGAGCCUCUUCAUCUAGAAGUACAAACAGGUGCAUCAAAAAUGGUUUCUUAGACUAUGGUGCAUUAGGCACAAACUAUGUACCUAUAUUGUACCGAAACUAACAUUGUCUCCAAAUGGACCAAAGCGAGAUUCCAUAUGACACACGUCAUCUAGGAGAUCCAUUGGGUGCGUUCAAAUUGAUUUCUUAACAUAUGGUAUGUUCCAUCAAACUGUGCAACUAUCUUGCAACAAGAUUAGCACUAUAUCCGAACAGACCAAAUCGAGCCUCCACUUGAGCCUCUUCAACUACGAGUACCAUCGGGUGCGUCUAAAAUGGUUUCUUAGCCUAUGGUGCAUUAGGCCUAAACCGUGCACAUAUCUUCUACCAAAACUAACACGGUCUCUAAACGAACCGAAGCAAGAUUCCAUAUGACACACAUCAUCAAGGACUUAUAUCAGGUGCGUCCUAAUUGAUUUCUGAGCAUAUCAUAUGUUCCAUGCAAACCGUGCAUCUAUCUUGCAUCAAGAUUAGCACUAUCUCCAAACAGACCAAACCGAGCUGUCACUUGAGCCCCUUGACCUAGGAGUACCAUCGGGUGCGUCCAAAAUGGUUUCUUAUUCUAUGGUGCAUUAGGUGCAAACCGUGCACCUAUCUUGCACCAAAACUAACACUGUAUCUAAACGGACGGAAGUGAGAUUCUGUAUGACACCCAUCUAGGAGUUCCAUUUGGUGUGUCCAAAUUGAUUUCUGAGCAUAUGGUAUGUUCCAUGCAAAUCGUGCACCUAUCUUGUAUCAAGAUUAGCACUAUCUCUAAACAGGACGAACCGAGCUUUCACUUGAGCCUUUUACCUAGGAGUACCAUCGGGUGCGUCCAAAAUGGUUUCUUAGCCUAGGCUGCAUUAUGUGCAAACCUUGCACCUAUCUUGCACUGAAACUAACACUAUCUCCAAACAGACCGAAGCAAGAUUUCGUAUGACACACGUCAUCUAGGAGUUCCAUCAUGUGCGUCUAGAUUGAGUUUCAAGUAUUUGGUAUGUUCCAUGUAAACCGUGCACCUAUCUUGCAUCAAGGUUAGCACUAUCUCCAAACAGACCGAACCGAGCAUCCACUUGAGCCCCUUCACCUAGGAGUACCAACAAGUGCGUCCAAAAUGGUUUCUUAGACUAUAGUGCAUUAGGUGCAAACUGUGCACCUAUCUUGCACCGAAACUAACAAUGUCUCCAAAUGGACCGAAGCGAGAUUCCAUAUGACACACGUCAUCAAGGAGUUCCAUCGGGUGCAUCCAAAUUGAUUUUCAAGCAUAUGGUAUGUUCCAUGCAAACCAUGCACCUACCUUGCAUAAGGAUUAGCACUAUCUCCAAACUGACCGAACCUAGCUUCCACUUGAGCCUCUUCACCCAGGAGUACCAAAUAGUGCGUCCAAAAUGGUUUCUUAGACUACGGUGCAUUAGGCGCAAACUGUGCACCUAUCUUGCACUAAAACUUACAAUGUCUACGAAUGGACCGAAGCAAGAUUCCAUAUGACACACGUCAUCUAGGAGUUCCAUUGGAUGCGUCCAAAUUGAUUUCUAAGCAUAUGGUGUGUUCCUUGCAAAUCAUGCACCUAUAUUGCAUAAAGAUUAGCACAAUCUCCAAACAGAUCAAACCGAGCUUCCACUUGAGCCUCUUCACCGAAGUACCAACAGGUGCUUCCAAAAUGGUUUCUUAGACUAUGGUGCGUUAGGCGCAAACCAUGCCCAUAUCUUGCACUGAAACUAACACUAUUUCUAAACAGACCAAAGCGAGAUUCCAUAAGACACACGUCAUCAAGGAGUUCCAUCGGGUGCAUCCAAAUUGAUUUCCAAGCAAAUGGUAUGUUCCAUGCAAACCGUGCACCUAUCUUGCAUCAAGAUUAGCACUACUGCAAACAGACCAAACCGAGCUUCCACUUGAGCCUCUUCAUCUAGAAGUACAAACAGGUGCAUCAAAAAUGGUUUCUUAGACUAUGGUGCAUUAGGCACAAACUAUGCACCUAUAUUGUACCGAAACUAACAUUGUCUCCAAAUGGACCAAAGCGAGAUUCCAUAUGACACACGUCAUCUAGGAGUUCCAUUGGGUGCGUUCAAAUUGAUUUCUUAACAUAUGGUAUGUUCCGUCAAACUGUGCAACUAUCUUGCAUCAAGAUUAGCACUAUAUCCGAACAGACCAAAUCGAGCCUCCACUUGAGCCUCUUCAACUACGAGUACCAUCGGGUGCGUCUAAAAUGGUUUCUUAGCCUAUGGUGCAUUAGGCCUAAACCGUGCACAUAUCUUCUACCAAAACUAACACGGUCUCUAAACGAACCGAAGCAAGAUUCCAUAUGACACACAUCAUCAAGGACUUAUAUUAGGUGCGUCCUAAUUGAUUUCUGAGCAUAUCAUAUGUUCCAUGCAAACCGUGCAUCUAUCUUGCAUCAAGAUUAGCACUAUCUCCAAACAGACCAAACCGAGCUGUCACUUGAGCCCCUUGACCUAGGAGUACCACCGGGUGCGUCCAAAAUGGUUUCUUAUUCUAUGGUGCAUUAGGUGCAAACCGUGCACCUAUCUUGCACCAAAACUAACACUGUAUCUAAACGGACGGAAGUGAGAUUCCAUAUGACACCCAUCUAGGAGUUCCAUCUGGUGUGUCCAAAUUGAUUUCUGAGCAUAUGGUAUGUUCCAUGCAAAUCGUGCACCUAUCUUGUAUCAAGAUUAGCACUAUCUCUAAACAGGACGAACCGAGCUUUCACUUGAGCCUUUUACCUAGGGGUACCAUCGGGUGCGUCCAAAAUGGUUUCUGAGCCUAGGCUGCAUUAUGUGCAAACCUUGCACCUAUCUUGCACUGAAACUAACACUGUCACCAAACAGACCGAAGCAAGAUUUCGUACGACACACGUCAUCUAGGAGUUCCAUCAUGUGCGUCCAGAUUGAUUUUCAAGUAUUUUGUAUGUUCAAUGCAAACCGUGCACCUAUCUUGCAUCAAGAUUAGCACUAUCUCCGAACAUACCGAACCGAGCAUCCACUUGAGCCCCUUCACCUAAGAGUACCAACAACUGCGUCCAAAAUGGUUUCUUAGACUAUGGUGCAUUAGGUGCAAACUGUACACCUAUCUUGCACCGAAACUAACAAUGUCUCCAAAUGGACCGAAGCGAGAUUCCAUAUGACACACGUCAUCAAGGAGUUCCAUCGGGUGCAUCCAAAUUGAUUUUCAAGCAAAUGGUAUGUUCCAUGCAAACCAUGCACCUACCUUGCAUAAGGAUUAGCACUAUCUCCAAACUGACCGAACCUAGCUUCCACUUGAGCCUCUUCACCCAGGAGUACCAAAUAGUGCGUCCAAAAUGGUUUCUUAGACUACGGUGCAUUAGGCGCAAACUGUGCACCUAUCUUGCACUAAAACAUACAAUGUCUACGAAUGGACCGAAGCAAGAUUCCAUAUGACACACGUCAUCUAGGAGUUCCAUUGGGUGCGUCCAAAUUGAUUUCUAAGCAUAGUAUGUUCCUUGCAAAUCAUGCACCUAUCUUGCAUCAAGAUUAGCACAAUCUCCAAACAGAUCAAACCGAGCUUCCACUUGAGCCUCUUCACCGAAGUACCAACAGGUGCUUCCAAAAUGGUUUCUUAGACUAUGGUGCGUUAGGCGCAAACCAUGCCCAUAUCUUGCACUGAAACUAACACUAUUUCUAAACAGACCAAAGCGAGAGUCCAUAAGACACACGUCAUCAAGGAGUUCCAUCGGGUGCAUCCAAAUUGAUUUCCAAGCAAAUGGUAUGUUCCAUGCAAACCGUGCACCUAUCUGGCAUCAAGAUUAGCACUAUCUCCAAAUAGACUGAAGCGAGCAUCCACUUGAGCCCCUUCACCUAGGAGUACCAACAAGUGCGUCCAAAAUGGUUUCUUAGACUAUGGUGCAUUAGGUGCAAAUUGUGCACCUAUCUUGCACCGAAACUAACAAUGUCUCCAAAUGGACGGAAGCGAGAUUCCAUAUGACACACGUCAUCAAGUGGUUCCAUCGGGUGCAUCCAAAUUGAUUUCCAAGCAUAUGGUAUGUUCCAUGCAAACCAUGCACCUACCUUGCAUAAGGAUUAGCACUGUCUCCAAACUGACCGAACCGAGCUUCCACUUGAGGCUCUUCGUCUAAAAGUACAAACAGGUGCAUCAAAAAUGGUUUCUUAGACUAUGGUGCAUUAGGCACAAACUAUGGACCUAUCUUGCACCGAAACUAACAUUGUCUCCAAAUAGACCAAAGCGAGAUUCCAUAUGACACACGUCAUCAAGGAGUUCCAUUGGGUGCGUCCAAAUUGAUUUCUUAACAUAUGGUACGUUCCAUGCAAACUGUGCAACUGUCUUGCAUCAAGAUUAGCACUAUAGCCGAACAGACCAAAUCGAGCCUCCACUUGAGCCUCUUCAACUACAACUACCAUCGAGUGCGUCUAAAAUGGUGUCUUAGACUAUGGUGCAUUUGGCGCAAACCAUGCCCAUAUCUUGCACUGAAACUAACACUAUUUCUAAACAGACCAAAGCGAGAUUCCAUAAGACACACGUCAUCAAGGAGUUCCAUCGGGUGCAUCCAAAUUGAUUUCCAAGCAAAUGGUAUGUUCCAUGCAAACCGUGCACCUAUCUUGCAUCAAGAUUAGCACUACUCCAAACAGACCAAACCGAGCUUCCACUUGAGCCUCUUCAUCUAGAAGUACAAACAGGUGCAUCAAAAAUGGUUUCUUAGACUAUGGUGCAUUAGGCACAAACUAUGCACCUAUAUUGUACCGAAACUAACAUUGUCUCCAAAUGGACCAAAGCGAGAUUCCAUAUGACACACGUCAUCUAGGAGUUCCAUUGGGUGCGUUCAAAUUGAUUUCUUAACAUAUGGUAUGUUCCAUCAAACUGUGUAACUAUCUUGCAUCAAGAUUAGCACUAUAUCCGAACAGACCAAAUCGAGCCUCCACUUGAGCCUCUUCAACUACGAGUACCAUCGGGUGUGUCUAAAAUGGUUUCUUAGCCUAUGGUGCAUUAGGCGUAAACCGUGCACAUAUCUUCUACCAAAACUAACACGGUCUCUAAACGAACCGAAGCAAGAUUCCAUAUGACACACAUCAUCAAGGACUUAUAUUAGGUGCGUCCUAAUUGAUUUUUGAGCAUAUCAUAUGUUCCAUGCAAACCGUGCAUCUAUCUUGCAUCAAGACUAGCACUAUCUCCAAACAGACCAAACCGAGCUGUCACUUGAGCCCCUUGACCUAGGAGUACCAUCGGGUGCGUCCAAAAUGGUUUCUUAUUCUAUGGUGCAUUAGGUGCAAACCGUGCACCUAUCUUGCACCAAAACUAACACUGUAUCUAAACGGACGGAAGUGAGAUUCCAUAUGACACCCAUCUAGGAGUUCCAUCUGGUGUGUCCAAAUUGAUUUCUGAGCAUAUGGUAUGUUCCAUGCAAAUCGUGCACCUAUCUUGUAUCAAGAUUAGCACUAUCUCUAAACAGGACGAACCGAGCUUUCACUUGAGCCUUUUACCUAGGGGUACCAUCGGGUGCGUCCAAAAUGGUUUCUGAGCCUAGGCUGCAUUAUGUGCAAACCUUGCACCUAUCUUGCACUGAAACUAACACUGUCUCCAAACAGACCGAAGCAAGAUUUCGUACGACACACGUCAUCUAGGAGUUCCAUCAUGUGCGUCCAGAUUGAUUUUCAAGUAUUUUGUAUGUUCAAUGCAAACCGUGCACCUAUCUUGCAUCAAGAUUAGCACUAUCUCCGAACAGACCGAACCGAGCAUCCACUUGAGCCCCUUCACCUAGGAGUACCAACAACUGCGUCCAAAAUGGUUUCUUAGACUAUGGUGCAUUAGGUGCAAACUGUGCACCUAUCUUGCACCGAAACUAACAAUGUCUCCAAAUGGACCGAAGCGAGAUUCCAUAUGACACACGUCAUCAAGGAGUUCCAUCGGGUGCAUACAAAUUGAUUUUCAAGCAUAUGGUAUGUUCCAUGCAAACCAUGCACCUACCUUGCAUAAGGAUUAGCACUAUCUCCAAACUGACCGAACCUAGCUUCAACUUGAGCCUCUUCACCCAGGAGUACUAAAUAGUGCGUCCAAAAUGGUUUCUUAGACUACGGUGCAUUAGGCGCAAACUGUGCACCUAUCUUGCACUAAAACUUACAAUGUCUACGAAUGGACCGAAGCAAGAUUCUAUAUGACACACGUCAUCUAGGAGUUCCAUUGGGUGCGUCCAAAUUGAUUUCUAAGCAUAUGGUAUGUUCCUUGCAAAUCAUGCACCUAUCUUGCAUCAAGAUUAGCACUAUCUCCAAACAGAUCAAACCGAGCUUCCACUUGAGCCUCUUCACCGAAGUACCAACAUGUGCUUCCAAAAUGGUUUCUUAGACUAUGGUGCAUUAGGCGCAAACCAUGGCCAUAUCUUACACUAAAACUAACACUAUUUCUAAACAGACCAAAGCGAGAGUCCAUAAGACACACGUCAUCAAGGAGUUCCACCGGGUGCAUCCAAAUUGAUUUCCAAGCAUAUGGUAUGUUCCAUGCAAACCGUGCACCUAUCUGGCAUCAAGAUUAGCACUAUCUCCAAAUAGACCGAAGCGAGCAUCCACUUGAGCCCCUUCACCUAGGAGUACCAACAAGUGCGUCCAAAAUGGUUUCUUAGACUAUGGUGCAUUAGGUGCAAAUUGUGCACCUAUCUUGCACCGAAACUAACAAUGUCUCCAAAUGGACGGAAGCGAGAUUCCAUAUGACACACGUCAUCAAGUAGUUCCAUCGGGUGCAUCCAAAUUGAUUUCCAAGCAUAUGGUAUGUUCCAUGCAAACCAUGCACCUACCUUGCAUAAGGAUUAGCACUGUCUCCAAACUGACCGAACCGAGCUUCCACUUGAGGCUCUUCAUCUAAAAGUACAAACAGGUGCAUCAAAAAUGGUUUCUUAGACUAUGGUGCAUUAGGCACAAACUAUGGACCUAUCUUGCACUGAAACUAACAUUGUCUCCAAAUAGACUAAAGCGAGAUUCCAUAUGACACACGUCAUCAAGGAGUUCCAUUGGGUGCGUCCAAAUUGAUUUCUUAACAUAUGGUACGUUCCAUGCAAACUGUGCAACUGUCUUGCAUCAAGAUUAGCACUAUAGCCGAACAGACCAAAUCGAGCCUCCACUUGAGCCUCUUCAACUACAACUACCAUCGAGUGCGUCUAAAAUGGUGUCUUAGACUAUGGUGCAUUUUGCGCAAACCAUGCCCAUAUCUUGCACUGAAACUAACACUAUUUCUAAACAGACCAAAGCGAGAUUCCAUAAGACACACGUCAUCAAGGAGUUCCAUCGGGUGCAUCCAAAUUGAUUUCCAAGCAAAUGGUAUGUUCAAUGCAAACCGUGCACCUAUCUUGCAUCAAGAUUAGCACUACUCCAAACAGACCAAACCGAGCUUCCACUUGAGCCUCUUCAUCUAGAAGUACAAACAGGUGCAUCAAAAAUGGUUUCUUAGACUAUGGUGCAUUAGGCACAAACUAUGCACCUAUUGAUGUAUCAACACCAGCGAUACAUCCUCUCCGACACAACCUAUAGCUGGUCCUCUUACUCGUGCUCGUGUUCGUCAACUUAAUAAUCAAGUGAGUUCCUUGAUAAGCUCGUGUCCAUCUUGUUUAGACAAUGGAAACGCGUGCACUCUUGUUUUGAUUAGGAACCAAGGAGAAGACCGAAAGGGAGAAGGACUCACGCUCGCUGGACUCGGACAGCAGCAAAGCGCUAACUUGUGACCGUUACCACGGUUGCAUACGGAUUCGGAUUCAGGCGCUUCAGGAAUAAGAUCAAUUUGGUGCUCAAUCCCGCGUAGUGGAGGCAGCCCCACUGGUACCUCACUUGGAAACACAUCAGAAUACUCUUGCAAAAUGUUAGCAACAGCAGGGGGCAAAGAACAUUGCAUAUCCUCAAUUGAAAUCAAAGCAUCCUUGCAUAUCAAAGCAUAAGCAACAGAAGUGGAUGCAUUGAACUCAUUAAUAUCUGAUUUGGUAGCUAUCAUACAACGUCCUUUCAGUUUUAUCUCAUCUUUGUUACCAAUUACAGAUUUAUCAUUUUUAUUGCUCUCGCUCUUUGCUUUAGUAGCCCUAGCAACAUCAGUUUGCAUAAUAGUUUCAGGGGACAUAGGAUGCAACACAAUUUUGCGAUCAUGGUAUAGAAAAGAAUACUGAUUUGAUCUACCAUGAUGCAUAGAAUCUCUAUCAAAUUGCCAAGGUCUACCUAGCAGAAUGUUACAAGCUUGCCUAGGCACAACAUCACAUUCAACAAUAUCUUUGUAGGAUCCGAUGGAAAAAUUAAUUCUCACAAGUCUAGUUACCUUUGCCUUACCACUGUUGUUCAGCCAUUGGAUGUAGUAGGGAUGCGGGUGUGGUUUGGUGUUGAGGGCAAGCUUCUGCACCAUAUCGCUGCUUGCCAAGUUGUUGCAGCUACCUCCAUCAAUGAUCAUGCGACAAGAACGCUCUUUGAUGACACACUUUAUUUGGAAUAAAAUGUGUCGCUGAUUUUGCUCCGCAAUCUCCAUUUGUGCACUAAGCACUCGCUGCACGAUCAAGCUCUCAUAGUGGUCCGCUUCACCUGCAUUAAUAUGUUCUUCUAUUUGAUCUUCAUUACCUGCAUGGUCAGUCGCAAGCAGUGCAAAUGUAUCCUCAUCAAAAUCAUUAGCAGAUGAGUACUCACCAUCAUCCCUGACAAUCAUAACUCGCUUGUUUGGACAGUCACGCAUCAUGUGCCCAUAUCCCUUGCACCGGUGACAUUGUAUGUUGCUUGUUCUACCCGUCGAUGCCACGGAUGAAGUACUCGCAGCAGGCUUUUGCAUCGUCUUCGCAACUGAAUUGGUGGGGGCAGCUCGAGUCUUGUCACUAGAUGAUGGAGUAGAAAUACGUGUAGAUGGAGUUGAAGCCAUGCGUUGCUGCCAUGAAUUAGCCUUCCCUGCAGAAAUAUUACUCCUUGCGCUAGCACGUCGUCCCUGCACUUCCCUUUCAGCUUUACAAGCAAGAUGAAACAAACGGGUUACAUUAUUGUAUUCUUUGUAAGCGAGGAUGUCCUGAAUUUCCCGAUUUAACCCACCCAAAAAUCUAGCCAUAGCCGGUUCCUCAUCUUCCUCUAGGUUACAACGCAACAUACCCGUUUGUAAUUCCUGAUAAUAUUCUUCUACACUUUUAGCAUCUUGUCUUAAUUGCUGCAACUUAUUUAUCAUAUCACGCGCAUAGUAAGAUGGAACAAAUCUAGCUCUCAUGGCCCUUUUCAGCGCAUCCCAAGUUCUAGGUAAGUUAUUAGGAUUUUUCUUUCCAUAUUCUAUCCACCAAACAGAAGCAAAAUCUGUAAACUCACUAGUAGCAGCCCUAACACGUGUAGUCUCAGGAAAUUCAUGACAUGCAAACUUUUGAUCAACAACAAUCUCCCAAGUGAUGUAAGCAUUAGGGUCAUAUUUACCAUCAAAAGGAGGUAUCUUAAAUUUAAUCUUACUAAAAGCAUCAUCAUUAUUGUGUACCUCGCGUCGGCGGUUGCCACCCAUACCUCUACGGUUGUGACGAAGGCGACGUCGAUCACGAGUGUCUUGAUCAUCAUGUUCAAUAUCACCAGUGUAGUCAUCUUCAUGACUACCGUGCUCUCGAUCUCCCUCCUUUUCUUCUUUAUGCUUCUCUUUAUCUUCGGUGUGGAAAUCAUCAAAUCGCCUUAGGAGAGCAGCAAGGCUUUUGUCCACACUAGCAACGGAUUCCUCCAAACUUGUGAGCUUGUUGUUUGUGGCAAUCUACGUAGCCUCCAACUGCCCUAGCUUUUUAUUUGUCACCUGCAAGUCGUUAUCAAGUCCCUCUGUGUGCAGCUUCACUUUCCUUUCAAAAUGUUGUAUGAUGCCCUUAGUGCGAGGUGUAUGUGGUGUUUCGUUACCAUCAUCUGCCCCUGGCAUGGUUCAAAGACAAAGACAACAAAAAGGCAAGUGAAGAAAUAAAAGCCCUACAACUACUAGGAUGUAGCUACAACAAGUCGCUCACACUCAACCUGUAACACAAGUUCUUACCAAUUCUUACCUUGCUUGACAGGAGGGGUCAUCUACCAACAAGUGUACAGCAAUGGACAAAGUGUAUCGGUGCUGCAGCACAAGACCUGUCAAGCUGUAGAGUAUGUGGAGCUAUAGGUGGGCUGAAACAAGGAACGAACUAGCACCACGUUAGUUAUAAAAGCGAGCUGAAUAAGCGUUUGACGAUGGUACAGUGCUGGUCCUAGGCUAGACCGUGCUAGAGACGCGAGCCUGGACACAAAGGAAAACCACAGCACACCCCCGAAAACAAGGUGGAACAAACCUAAAAUCAAUAUGAAAAACAGCCCCUUUUUUCUUUUGAAUCUUUUCUCUUUUCUUUUUUUAUUUAUUUAUUUUUUUGGGCAACCUCAAAAACUGAUUAUAUGAACAAAAGAAUACAAAGGAGCAAUUUGCUACACACACUUUUUUCCGAAAGUACAGGGGUAUUCCGGUAAAAAGAAUCUCCCUCUCUCUAGAGUAAGGCCGAACAAGUAUAUUUAUCUUUCUUUUUUUAUCACGUUGGUGGAACUCAGAUUGGAAAUCUACUCGAUCCGGACCAAGACCACAGUUCAAUUCGGACUUCGCAAUAGAUUCGACAGAGAGAAGAUAUGGUAAUACUCGGCUGUGUAUAGAUGGUGACUGUUGAUAUUUGGGAACGCAAUAAGGAAUUGAUCCGCAAGCGCACGGAUAUCGGUGAGCACUUCACCCGGGAGGUUAUCCAGAGUAUCGUAUUUAUUUUUUUACCACUAGGAGAAAGAGUGCAUCUGACUAACCGGUCUAUUACUACUAACCUUUAGGCACAAAAAAUGUCUUUCGAUGUGAGUGAUAAAUAGAGAAGACUGCAACCGUAGUCUCCUUCUAACCUUGGUAAGGAUGAUCUACUGUUCUAAUGGGGAGGCUAACGGAAUCUAGACACCACAAAGGAUGUUCGACCCGCACCUAUAAACCCUACCCUUCCUGCUAACGAGAUGUGAUCUACAAAGGUAGCUCGGAAUUGUCACGUUCCUCACUACUACCACGGUCCAGCUAGUCAGGGAAUAUCUAUGAGUACCCCAGCCUAAACACCACGUUUACGCCAGCAAUGAUUACUCUAAACUCUACGCGAAGAGAUUAAAGUAAACUCAUAAACCAUAAGAACAAUAAAACAAGAACUUACUAGAAUUUAGAAGUCAAAUUACUGAAGAAUCCUAGGAGCAAGCUUCGGGUUAGGAAAACUUGAUCCCGCAGGUACAAGCUUGGAGUAGACACCGACAGGCCGGGCUUCCUCCACUCUACACCUCCACUCUAUCUCUCUCAAUCUAGUAGAAACUAGAAGAUCUAUUUCUACCUUACAUUGAUUGCUAAGCCUAAAAAGAAAUAUUAAUUAGAGAAGAGGUUUUCCUUCGAGGGCACCCCUCAGUCUCUAUGAUAAUUUCUUCAUGUCUUCUCCAGGGGCCAGGGGGGCCUUGCUUAUAUAGUCCUCCCCUUCUAUGCGUUUUUGGGUCGAUAGCCGAGGUGGUACUAUGUUUUUCUUGAUCCAAUAGGUCGGUGGAAUAUCUCGAACGAAAGAGUCCUGAUUUGGCUCCAGCAGGGGGGCGGGCGCCCAGGCUACCAGGGCGGGCGCCCUGGGCCUGGCCCAGUUUUGCCUCCGCUUCGGUCUCGUGGCUUCUGGAGUCUUCUAGAUGAUGUAAAAUUGCGCGGUGCGUUGAUAUCUCUAUGUAAUCCCGACAUGUAGGCCUUUCUUCCUUAUUUCCUGAUAACCCCCUGCAGAAACAGAUAAACAACAAAACUCGUGGAAUUCUGUUAGAUCAAACCCUAAUUCUAGGUGUUGUUUGCAUAUUGGUCCUUUCUCUUGUUUAUUUGAUAAUUAAAAUUGAUACUUAAGAACCGUCAACAAAUACCCCCAUACUUAGGCUUUUACUCGUCCUCGAGAAAAGGAUGGUUAAGAAAAAUAUCUGGGGUAAAACAUUUAAAACAUUCUCUUUAUAUAAUUGCAGGGUGUUAAAAUUCCACUAUGUACCAUAGUCAGGGAUGUUUAUGGUUAAGAGUAAAGAUCCUUUCUUCUCAAUCCUGUCACUUGGAGUUUUUGUUAUAUUUUUGAAAGAAAGUUAGCAUACCUUUUUAUCCUGAUUGGUUCUCUCAGAUCACUCAUUAUCUUUUAUAUAUAUAUCUCACUGAGGUUGUUUUAUUUUUGCAAAAAUUCUCAAGCAUUCUUACUUUGCAUUUAUUGCCUGAUCAAAACAGGAUCCGAGGAGGGGAAUGUCAUACUCUUAGAUCAAAGACUUUGGAAAUUAAAAUCUUUGUCAACUCUUGCUGGCAUAUUGCUUAUUAGAGGGACCAUGGGCUAUCAUUUUCAUUUCAUCAUUUUUUUUCAUUUUUUUUGAGUGGAUACCGAGGUACCCCUAAUUCUACUGCCGGACACUUGUCCAUUUUUUCUGCGAGGUUGUCGAGCACUUGCUCCUUUUUAUUUCCUCAAAAUAUUUUUAUUUUUGCAUAGCCCAUGCCUCUAAUGCAAUAAUACUUCGGAAGAGUGAAUCUUUCUGAAAUAAUGUCUUGAUCUUAGGAGCAUGAUAAAUCUCUCAACAAGGGUCUAACUCAUUUUGAACAAACUCAAUACAGAGUAGAUAGCUUUAUAAUCAUCAUUAAUAUUUUUAUUUUUAUCAGGCAUAUAAAACACUGAGGAUGGUAGCUAGAAUUUUGAAUAUUUUGAAAUAAAUUCUCCAAGCAACAAUGAUAUCAAGAAUAAGAAACUCAUACUCUACCAUCACAUAUUCCAUAUUGACUUGAGUAACACAGGGUUUUAAAAUGAUUUUAUAAUAAUUGCAAGUUUUCAGGAAAUAUCACAGAUUGAGAUUAAUCAUGAUUAGAAAUAUUUUAAUCUUUUUAUUUUAUCAUGUCGGAAACAGUAAUCUGCAUAAUCCAAAAUAAAUGUAUGUAUGAAGUAAAGUGUGCAGAGUGUGUACCUGAAUCGUGGAGUGGUGUAGUCGGAGUGUGUUUGGCAUGUUAAGGGAUCUCCCCCAUACUUGUUUUCUGCUUUCUUGCACAAAAAUAAAGUAGAGACACACAAGACAUAAUAAUAAUAGUAAUACUCUUUAUUGAUCUUGAGGCAUUUAGUACAAAAGACUGAUAACAAACUGAUAGCAAACUGAUAAUAAUAGUAAACUGAUGAUAAUAGUAAACCUAAACCGAAUUUAAAGAUAAAUGACUAAGAUGCAUUGCCUCAAGGUCUAAUCUAGAUAACUUAACGGCGCUCUCAUUCCUUGAUCUUCUUGUUGGCACUGGCAAGAUCCUGCCUAAGGCCUAAUAUAACGGUGUUGUGGUUAGAGAGCUGCCUAGUGAGGGAAUUAAUCGAGGAUUGGAGGUCUAUGAUAACUCUAUCUAGCCUGCGAACUUCCUCAUCAAUAUCCAUUAUAGUCUUGCGAUGCUUGGGAGGUGUCUCAAAAGCAUUGAGAGAGUGCUUCGGGGCUGCCUUUGGAGGGAUGAAACGGACUUUGGAUGCUCUAAUCCCUUCAAAGUAAGGCCUUUCCUCCUCCGUAGUGUAGCGAACGCUGCUGAUCUCGCCGCUCCGGUUGGUCUUGACUCCAACGACCCUCUCAUUGGGUCUAGGUGGAAGGAUCCUUGUACCGAUUGGUACCUUGAUAGUGGUCUUCGUCUUGGAUGAUGGUCCUUUGAGGAGUAGGGGUUGUGGUGGUGCGGUGAGAACUGGUUGAGCAUGGUAGGAUUGGGCGGAGCUGCGUUGGCGUAAUGGCAUGGCUUCUAGUUGUCGCUCUGUGUUGGCCGGGACGAGAGCACGGGCAUCGAGUUCUUCCACUGGCUCCAUGUUGAGGUUGAAGGGGACGACUUCCCAAUCAUCGUGGUACUUCUCGGCCAUUGGAGUAGCAAGGAACUAAUAAAAUUUUAAUUGAAGUAGAGCUAAUUAAGCUCUAAUUGAAGGAGAGAAAGCUUGGUGGCUUGGUGUCUGAAAACUGAGGUCAGGGGUCUGUUUAUAUAGGGGUCAAAAGGAUGCCUCUAUGGGUUGUUCGGGUUGCUCCCGUCGAUGUGCGUGCGAAACUUUCCAUCCGAGGGAUUAUUUGGAUCACCCUAAGUGCAUUUUCCAUAUCAGAGAAAGUCGGGACCGAGGGGGAACAGGGGCUGGGCGCCCGCCCACUUGACCUGGGCGCCCGCCCUCUCUCUGGCUCCUCUGUGGACCCACUUUUCCGAGCGCGUUUCUAGAUGCGAAAUUAUUUAGAAAAAUAUAUAUAUGCCCCAAAACCAUCAGACCAAAAGUGUCGGGCUCUAAUUCUCCAUGGGAAGGUAAAAAUGGACUACGUCUAUUUCUUCAAAUUCCUCAUUGGGCUCUAAAAAUAAUUUAAGACGUUGACCAUUUACCUUGAAUAACGUACCUUCGCUAUUUUGAAGUGUGAUAGCUCCGUGGGAUGAUGAAUUGAUUACCUUGAAUGGUCCUUCCCAUUUGCUCCGGAGUUUUCCAUGCCCGAAAAGCUUUACCCUGGAAUUAAAAAGUAAUACCUUAUCUCCGGGUGUGAACUCCUUCUUCUUGAUUCUCUUGUCAUGCCACCUCUUGACUCUUUCUUUGUAGAUUUUUGAAUUGUGAUAUGCCUUCUCUCGCCAUUCUUCCAAUUCUGAUAGUUGCAUUCUUCUAUAAUCUCCAACAACAUCUAGGUCCAUAUUCCAUCUCUUUAUGGCCCAGUGUGCUUUGAACUCUAGUUCAACAGGUAGAUGGCAAGUCUUCCCGUACACCAAUUGGUAUGGAGACAAUCCAAUUGGGGUCUUGUAUGCUGUCCGGUAUGCCCAGAGUGCAUCGGGUAACUUGUCUUUCCACGCCGUUCCCAUUUCAUUUACUGUCUUCUGAAGAAUAUUCUUGAUUUGUUUGUUGGAAGUCUCUGCUUGGCCACUUGUCUGAGGAUGAUAGGGGGUAGCGACGUUGUGACGGAUUCCAUGUCUUGAUAGAUAUUGCUUGAAGCGUUUGUCGAUGAAGUGUGCUCCUCCAUCACUUAUCACUACUCUGGGAACUCCAAAUCUUGGAAAUAUAAUUUCUUCAAACAUCCUCUUUGAACUGACGUUGUCGGCAUGCUUGCAAGGUAGUGCUUCUACCCACUUGGAGACAUAGUCAACCGCCACCAAAAUGUACUCACACUUCUUUGAUGGAGGAAAUGGACCCAUGUAGUCUAUUCCCCAGACAUCAAAGAGCUCAAUCUAAAGGUUGUUGGUGAGUGGCAUUGCAUCCCUUGUAUUUAUGUUUCCGUGCCUUUGACAUGGCCCACAUCUCCUGAUAUAUUGCUUCGUGUCUUCAUACAUUGUAGGCCAGUAGAAUCCACACUGCCAGAUCUUUGAAUGUGUACGGAAUGCUCCAUAGUGACCUCCAUAUGGUGAUGAAUGACAUCUGUCGAUGAUCUUCCAUCCUUCCUCAGUGGUCACACAUCUUCUGAGUAAGCCAUCAGAGCAUACUCGGAAGAGGUAUGGCUCAUCCCAUAUAUGUGAACGACUUUCUUGAAUAAGCUUCUUCUUGUUUGCUCCUGGUGGUACAUACCCUGAAACCAUAAAAUUAACAAUAUCUGCAUACCAAGGGUCAGACCUGUUAAUCCCGUAGAGCAUGUCGUCCCGGAGUGAAUCAUUGAUUGGGGUUUCCUGUGGACUCUUAAAAUACAUUCUAGACAGGUGAUCAGCAACAGAAUUUUCUACUCCCUUUUUAUCUUUUAUUUCUAAGUCAAAUUCUUGGAGUAAUAAAAUCCAUCUAAUCAGGCGAGGUUUAGCAUCUUUUUUAGUGAGCAAAUAUUUUAGUGCAGCAUGAUCAGUGUAAACAAUUAUUUUAGCUCCAACUAAAGAAGAUCUAAAUUUAUCAAUGGCAAAGACAACAGCCAGAAGCUCUUUUUCAGUGGUUGCAUAAUUAAGUUGAGCUCCUGUCAAAGUUUUACUGGCAUAAGCAAUUGCAUGAUGCUUCUUAUCUUUAGUUUGUCCCAAUACUGCCCCCACAGCAUAAUCACUAGCAUCACACAUAAUUUCAAAAGGUAACGACCAAUCAGGGGGUUGAAUGAUUGGUUCAGAGAUGAGUGCUUUCUUUAAUAAAUUGAAAGAUGUUAGACAUGCAUCAUCAAAUUCGAAAGGAGCAUCCUUGGCUAGCAAAAGAGUAAGUGGUCUAGCAAUGAAUGAAAAAUCUUUUAUGAAUCUACGAUAAAAACCAGCAUGGCCAAGAAAGCUUCGAAUUCCUUUUAUAUUCACAGGUGGAGGUAGUUGUUCAAUUACUUCAAUUUUAGCUUUGUCUACCUCAAUUCCUCUUUCAGACACUAAGUGUCCCAGCACUAUUCCUUCCCUAACCAUAAAAUGACAUUUUUCCCAAUUAAGGAUUAAGUGCUUUUCUUCACAUCUUUGCAAAACCUUAUCUAAGUUUUCAAGACAACUAUCAAAAGUUUUUCCAUAAACAGAGAAAUCAUCCAUGAAAACUUCCAUAAUCUCUUCAAUCAUAUCAGAAAAUAUAGACAUCAUGCAUCUUUGAAAAGAAGCUGGUGCAUUACAUAACCCAAAAGACAUUCUACGAUAAGCAUAAGUUCCAUAUGGGCAUGUAAAAGUGGUUUUGCUUUGAUCAUCGGGAUGGAUCGGGAUUUGAUGAUACCCUGAAUAUCCAUCUAAGAAACAAAAGAAUGAAUGGUUUGCUAACCGCUCUAGCAUCUCAUCUAUAAAAGGUAAAGGAAAGUGAUCCUUUCUCGUGGCUUUAUUUAGUUUUCUAUAGUCUAUGCACAUCCGCCAUCCUGUGACGGUGCGUUGCGGAAUUAGCUCGUUCUUUUCAUUCAUAAUAACUGUCAUGCCUCCCUUUUUGGGCACAACUUGGACUGGGCUCACCCACUCACUAUGCGGCAUAGGAUAUAUAAUCCCUGCAUGCAGCAACUUAAUAACUUCCUUUUUAACUACCUCUCUCAUAGUGUUGUUAAGUCUACGUUGGGGUUCUCGAGAGGGUGUAACAGAAGGAUCUGUUGGAAUACGAUGGGUACAAAUUAUAGGACUGAUUCCUGUAAGAUCUUGAAGUGAGUAGCCGAAUACUGAGUGAUGUUUCUUAAGAAUGGUCAUUAAUCGCAGAGUUUGAUCCUGAGUGAGUUUAUCCCUAAUGAUCACAGGAAACUCUGGAUUAUUGUUUAGGAAAGCAUAGGUAAGACCAGGUGGUAAAGUUUUAAGCUCUAUGGGGGGUCUAGGUGUUUCUGCAAACUCAUCUAAGGGUUCAGGCUCAGAAGGUUCGUCUUCUUCUUCUGUGAAGAAAGGAGUUUCGUCUUCUAAGUCUGGUUCAUCUAAAAGCUCUAGAGAUGCAGCCUUUACUUCCUCCAUAGGAUCAGGCAAAAGAUAUGACUCGGCCUUAUUGUUUAAGGAGUGAAAUAUUAUUGAGAAUUUAAAGGUUUUUCAAAAGAAAUGUGUAGCUUUCCAGUAUGACCUUCAUAAAGGAGUCUUCUAAAAGGUUGUCCUAUCAAUAGGUCGAAGUCCCAUGUAUCAAAGAUAUAGAAGUUCAAAUGAACCAUGGAGCCUUCUACCGUAAGAGGUAGGACAUUUAUAAUUCCAAGACUGGGGACUAAUCGUCCCGAAGAUUCCUUUAUGACCUUUGUUGUGGGGGUUAAGAUAAGAUUUUUAAAUAGUUUAAGUGCAAAGGAUUCAAACAUAAUGUUGAUCCCCACAACAGGAUUAUAAAGAGCAUUAAAUCGAUCAGAAUUAUAAACACAGCGUAUAGUUAUAGAGGGUGUGUCCAAACGGAUCACAUCAGAGGAAAGCUCUGAUUCCUCCAACCAUUCGCUACUCAUGACUGAGAUAAGCUCUCUCAAUUGAUAUUCACUUGGUAAAUAAAUGCUAAAUUGACCGUUUUGGGGUUUGUCAAUAGAAUGGAGUUUGAAAUAUUUCCAAAAUCGGCAAAAAGAUCGGAUUCUAUAUCCAGCAUGAAGUUCGGUAGUGGAAUUUCUUCCUCUUGAGGCUCAUAACUUGGGAUAGCUAAAGUAGAUGAAGAAUUUGGCAGAGUGUCUACUUCGGCUUCGUAGGUUUCAUCAUGAAGGGUAUUAUCCAUCUCAGCUUCUAGGAUUCUAUCUAGGAUCACUAUUGCUUCAUCAGCAGGGAUGCGAAAGAAAGAACCUCUAGACAUUGUGUGUAGCAUUUGUUUGUGAUUUCUAUGAAGACCUCAAAAAAAGUGAAAUAAAAGAACAGGGUCUUCAAGAUUAAGGUUUGGACCAGAUUCUAAAAGAUCAGAAAAACGUUUCCAGGAUUUUCCCAAAGUUUCAUUAUCUUUUUGUUUAAAAGAUAGGACUUCGAGUCUAAGGUCGGCUAUACGGUCAAGGGAAUAGAAAUCUAGACAAAAGUUGGCUCGUAAAACUCCCCAUUCACCUUGUUGUUGACUUACCUUCUGACUGUACCAUUGUCUAGCUUCUCCCCUUAGAGAAAAAGGAAAAAGCUUCCAACGUAAAGUCUUAUCAGAAAUGCCUUCAAUGCGAAGACAAUCACAUGUUUGCUCAAAAUCUCUAAUAUGAAGGUAAGGGUUUUCGUCUUCCUUUCUCGAAAAAGAUAGGUUUUGAAUCAUGGCAAUCAACCUAGAACUUAACUUAUACUGGGGUGUUUGGAUAGGCUGUGAUGAUUCCCAUGGUAAAAGGUCAGUUGCUAAAGGGAUUGCAGACUCAUGGAUCGAUUUAGAAUUUUGGUUUUCCAUAAGGUAAGAAUAAAGAAAAUAAAUAAAGGAUAUAAAAGAUAAGAAAAGAUAAAAGUAUAGAUAUAAGCUAGUAGCAAGACUCAGGUUAUCUCAGCAACCGUCUUUCUCCCCGGCAACGGCGCCAGAAAUGCUUGUUGAUAUUUGGGAACACAAUAAGGAAUUGAUCCGCAAGCGCACGGAUAUCGGUGAGCACUUCACUCGGGAGGUUAUCCAGAGUAUCGUAUUUAUUUUUUUACCACUAGGAGAAAGAGUGCAUCUGACUAACCGGUCUAUUACUACUAACCUUUAGGCACAAAGAAUGUCUUUCGAUGUGAGUGAUAAAUAGAGAAGACUGCAACCGUAGUCUCCUUCUAACCUUGGUAAGGAUGAUCUACUGUUCUAAUGGGGAGGCUAACGGAAUCUAGACACCACAAAGGAUGUUCGACCCGCACCUAUAAACCCUACCCUUCCUGCUAACGAGAUGUGAUCUACAAAGGUAGCUCGGAAUUGUCACGUUCCUCACUACUACCACGGUCCAGCUAGUCAGGGAAUAUCUAUGAGUACCCCAGCCUAAACACCACGUUUACGCCAGCAAUGAUUACUCUAAACUCUACGCGAAGAGAUUAAAGUAAACUCAUAAACCAUAAGAACAAUAAAACAAGAACUUACUAGAAUUUAGAAGUCAAAUUACUGAAGAAUCCUAGGAGCAAGCUUCGGGUUAGGAAAACUUGAUCCCGCAGGUACAAGCUUGGAGUAGACACCGACAGGCCGGGCUUCCUCCACUCUACACCUCCACUCUAUCUCUCUCAAUCUAGUAGAAACUAGAAGAUCUAUUUCUACCUUACAUUGAUUGCUAAGCCUAAAAAGAAAUAUUAAUUAGAGAAGAGGUUUUCCUUCGAGGGCACCCCUCAGUCUCUAUGAUAAUUUCUUCAUGUCUUCUCCAGGGGCCAGGGGGGCCUUGCUUAUAUAGUCCUCCCCUUCUAUGCGUUUUUGGGUCGAUAGCCGAGGUGGUACUAUGUUUUUCUUGAUCCAAUAGGUCGGUGGAAUAUCCCGAACGAAAGAGUCCUGAUUUGGCUCCAGCAGGGGGGCGGGCGCCCAGGCUACCAGGGCGGGCGCCCUAGGCCUGGCCCAGUUUUGCCUUCGCUUCGGUCUCGUGGCUUCUGGAGUCUUCUAGAUGAUGUAAAAUUGCGCGGUGCGUUGAUAUCUCUAUGUAAUCCCGACAUGUAGGCCUUUCUUCCUUAUUUCCUGAUAACCCCCUGCAGAAACAGAUAAACAACAAAACUCGUGGAAUUCUGUUAGAUCAAACCCUAAUUCUAGGUGUUGUUUGCAUAUUGGUCCUUUCUCUUGUUUAUUUGAUAAUUGAAAUUGAUACUUAAGCACCGUCAACAGUGACGAGAACUCAAAACUCUAAAGGACUAGACACUAAGACCAGCAACUCGACACAAACCGAAGCAACGCAAAUUCAACAAGCCCUAACUAAAACGGUACUAGCCAAGGCACAAAGGUUUAAUAGGAUUAUGGAAAAACUAAUCUACUAUAUUUUUUUUGGAUUUUCUAGACUAUAGGAAAUUAAUUAAAAACAGCAAAGGAUUAGAAGUCUCUCACCGAAGAACCUUGCUCUGAUACCA
rnacentral:lncRNA from 1 species